CUCUUUCUUAUCAAGUUUGACGAUGGAUAUAACUGCGGUCGGUACAAAGGGAACUCUGCAUGUUGAUGGUUUUGUUAUCCCUCAUGAAGAGAAAGAAGCCGCUUUUUCUGCAGCUUCACAAAGUGGAUUUGAUGAAUUUGUCACCUGUUGGGUUCCAUCACCAAGUCGUCACAUUGUGACCACAGAUCUUCCGCAGGAGGUCCUCAUGGUAAGAGAGUUUGCUCGUUUGGUAGGGGCUAUUAAAAAUGGUGCAAAACCUGAGAAGAAGUGGCCAACCCUUAGUCGGAAGACACAGAUCGUACUCGAUGCUGUCAAGGCAUCAAUUGCCAAGGGUUUUGAAUCCAUUGAUAUCGCAUAUUAACCGAGACUCAUCUGGUAUGUGUUUUUCAUCUUAUCUUUUAGCUGGGGCGUUCUUGUAGUGAGUAAUAAGAUCCUCAUUGGCUCAGAGCCUCAUGAACUCGUCGUAUUGGAACAUUAAUGUUGAAAUGUAUGGUAAAUGAAUUAAAUGUAAAAUAAAAUGGCCGUGGCGCAGAUUGUGAGUGAAGGUCAAACAGAAACACAGCAUGCAUGAUCACCUUUACAUAUCUACUUAGCAAAGUCCGGUACUUGGAUUGUCUAGCCUCCCCAUCCCAUACCCUUCUCAUCCCCUCCUAUUUCUGUAAUCACGGUUAAGCCACGUCAACAUCUUAUAUUGAUUUUUUUAUAAAAAUAAUAAGACAAAAAAUAAUGAGAAUAUAAAAUGUUGACGUGAUUUAACCAUGAUCACAUAAAUAUGAGGGGAUGAGGUGGGGGAGGGCAGACAAUCCAGGUUCGUCCGAUACCUGGAUUGUCUGCCAUUCCCAUCCCAUACCCUUCCCAUCCCCUCUUGUUUUUGGUACACUUUGAAAUCUAGUCAGAGCGUGUGUUUUGUGAUUCGAUUACAAAAGCCUACUUAGCCGGGCUACAAUAAUUUUUAAGAACAAGUCAAAGAGAAAAUUGGAGGUGGAGUAAAGGUUUUUUAACUAAGGAAUUCUACUUUUUUUUUUUUUGGUCUCCUUAAACCCUUUAAUUUUAGAUGGAAGUUCAUUAGUCAAAAUGAUCGCUACUCCACAUUAUAACAACUACAGGGACCAACACUCAGAGAUUUUAAAACUCAGCUACUUAUCUAACACUCUUUGCAUAUAUUUGUUUUAAAUUAAGAAAGGCUUUUUUUUUAUUUUCUAGAAACAAUAACAUCUUCCUAGCUAGGAAGGAACUGACAACAUUUUAGGCCUAAACUAAAUCAAAUCUACCUGCAUGUCACGUCGGCCAACUAGGUGGUACGUCGAAUUGUCAUUUUGUAAUUUGACUUAAAUGUAAGAAGCUUGAUACAAAAUGCGUUUACAUUACAAUAGCAGACCAUAUCCGACCAUAAGAGCAAGUUCACCUCUAAAAAAAUACAUCAGCACCCAGCUCAUUUAAUCCACUCAGUGAACAGUGAUAGAUCAUAAUGAACAGUAAUAGGUCAAAUGCAUAUCCACCUCUAAAAAAUGCGCUGUCACAAACGAUCUUUACCCUUACAAAAAGCGCUGGCACCAAACCCAUUUAAAUUAUUAUUAAAUUGUUUAUAAAAUAAUAAAUAAAAAAUAGUUUUAAUUUCGGAUAGGAUUAAAUAAAGAUGAAAUUACAUAAAGUACUAAAAAUUAAGACGAAAUUAAAUAAAGUACUAAAAAUAAAUACAAAAUUAUACAAAGUCUGUGGAGCUAGGAUGUGUGGUGCUAGGAUCUGUGUAGCUAAAACCCCCUCGACUUGUUUCCACGUCUUUUGCACACCUCCUUCGUACCAUAUCUCUUUUUUCCGAUGUCAAAAAAUAUUUUGAAUUCGGAGACAAUCCUACUAGAGGCUUGUUCAUAGUGUCACGAUCUGCUUGAGCCAUCCUUUCAUCUCUAAGCAUCUCGUUUUCUCAAUUAAAUGCUUCUCUAAUCAUCUCGUUUUCUCGAUUAACUAUUUCUCUUUGUCUCUUAGCCGCUGCAUCACGUCUCUCAGUAGCUGCUAAUAUUGUUGCCAUAGCAGCAACUUUUUCCUCAUCUCUAGCCGCUUCCCGCGCCAUGUUCAGUUCACCUUGGCGCGCAGGUUCGUCCAUAUAUUUUGUGUAGUCAUUUUUGGAAGAACUCCCUUUUUUCUUUGCCGCCUUCUUACCUUGAGGCCUUAAGGACUAACGAGUCGCCUAGGUCUUCGUCACUUCUUCGGGCAUCCCUUCCGACACUUCUUCAAAUGUGUAUUCUUUAUAUGCGGUCGUGUCUUCUUCCUGUUCGACCGUGUCUGCUUUUAACGAACUGUGUAGACACAUGUCGUGCAUGACACCUUAUGGACUGGUUGCCACAAUUCUGUAUUUGGGACAAUCUUUGACAAUUUGCCAACAUUCCCAUUUGUUGAAUGAUUUGUUAUGGUUCUUCGCAUUGUAAAAUGCUUGUGCUUGUAGUGUCUAUAAAUGUGGGAUAAGACAAUAUUAUAAAAUGCGGGUGUAACACAAAUAAAUAAAUUAAAAUAUUGAUGCGGGUGGAAUACAUAUAAAUAAAUAAAAAUAUUGUGACCUAAUCUGCUAUACUUGUACCACUACGCAGAUUACCCGAAGUAUGAGAGAUAGCGUUUUUCCAACAAGUAAAGGAUGCGUGAGUUUUUUGCAACGACCUUGAAGACCUUGACUACUUCUGGUGUCUUUUCCAUGUACAUCGCAAAACGCUUUUGUAAUUUUACUCCACAUUUCUCGUUUAUUAAUUUUAAUUUAGUUAAUUAAUCUGGGUCGUUGGAUAUGAAAAAAGAUUCAAAUCCAACAGCCUAUACGUUGACACGUGGCCAACGGUCAUAAUUCUGACUGUUGUGCCUUUUUAAAAAAAAAAAAAUAAACGUGGACCAUUGAUCUCUAGAUCAGACGGUCCAGAUCAAGCCACGUCACUAGCCGUUGGAUGUCAAAUUCAAACUUUUUUUACCGUUGGAAAUCCAACGGUCCAGAAAACUAGCUGUUGGAAAUCCAACAGCUCAGAAACAAACAUGUGGCCUCCCUAUUAAAUCCCUAAGUGUGCCUACGUUGGCUGCCACCCUCACGUUUUCUUGUUGGGGCGCGUGGCCACGUGUGCAUGUUUCGCACGCGCCUAGAGACCAGCUUAGGUUGGGUGCUGGGUGCCGGCCUAAAAGUCCCCGGUGGACUUGCUCUAAAGGGCAAAGCUUAUGGCUGUUGUAUAGGUCAUGAGCCUUUGGGUUCAUAUGCAAUCAAUACGUCCUUUGGGCUUAUGAUAUCCCCAUUCCUGCCAUUAUGCCUUUCCUAUCUCAAUGUAGCAGAGGUUAACUCUUCAAAAUCGUGUCGUGCACUCUGGCGCAUCAACAUGCUAGAGGCCUACCAUUAGGUACUUCAUGUAGAUGCCAGCGGGGUGUGGUAUGCACCACACUAGCAAAACAUAGAGGCCUACCUAGUAUGGCAUGUGAGCUUACUUCCUAGUUGCCUGCAAAAAUCUCUCCUAUAAAUAGCCAGGUUAAACAAAGAAAUAGGUAAUCUUUACUUACUAAUUAUAAUUCUCUAUGAUGAUAUAGUUUCUUUCAACUAUUUCUAGCUUGGGCAUCGAAGACCAUUUUUCGGAUACCCUCCCCCAUUUUCUCUAAGAGUUCAUCAAUUAGGCUACUAAUGCUUCUUAUUUUGUAUGUGUGGUUUCAUCAAUCCAACCAUACAAACUUUGCAUCCACAAUACUCUGAUUGAGAUGGAUAAAAAAAUUGUGUGAGCAAGAAGAUUAGGUACCAAAUAACAACAACGCUUUUGAGAAGAUUAAUAUAUACUUAUUCCUCAUGAGGCAGGGAAAUGAUACUCUUCGGAUCCCUUACAUCUGGAUCCUCGGAAUCUUGAAAAUUGGCUGCAAGCCUUGCCUCCGGCACAGUUGUGAAGCCAUCACAGCUUCUUCUUCCUAGAACAGGUCUGUGAAGCGACGAUCGCAACCUUGCCUCGAAUAGGACUGCGAAGCCAUUGAUCCUGACGAUGCCAUUGUCUCCUCCACCUCCGCCCCCCUCUUAACCCCUCCCACCGUCAACACAUUGUUGGGGCUUUGAUGCAAAGGAUACGAUGGCCGCUGCUGCCAUUGCAACUUCCUAUUCCGAUGGUGUCAAACAUUUUCUUGACCGUUCAAAAUUUUUUUUUGAACGGCUAAGAUUAAAGAUAUUUUCUUUUGAAUGGCCAAGAUUGAAGAAUCCUCCGGGGACGGAGAAGAUCUUCCAUGAUAUUUAUGUACAAUACUGAGUGUUUUCAACAACUACAUGCGUGCUACUAGUAUUUACUAUAAGGUCGUCAAUCACAUACUAAAAUAUAUGAGGUCUGCACUAACCUAGUGCUUAUGUUUCUAAGUCCAAGACAUGGACAUUUAAAUGUCAUUGGAUACAUAGAUGUAGAUUGGGUACGUAGACUCAUUCAUUGAUAGACGUCCUACUUCAGGUUAUUUCAUAUUUGUUUAUGCAAUUUGUACCUAGUGAAACAAGAAACAUAAUAUUGUAGUAAGACCAAGUGUUAAGUCUAAGUUACAGGGUAUGCCACUUGGUAUUUAUGAUUAUUGUGGAUUUGUAAUUUGUUAUCUGUGUUGGAUUUUAGACUUGGAAGUCCCAUGAAAUUUUAUUAUGAUAAUAAAGUCGUGGUUGCACACACUUCAGUUCAAUGUGAUCAGAAUAAACAUGUUGAAGUUGAUGCUUGAUAGAUAUUUCAUCAAGGUCAAAUUAGAAGCUGGAUUAUUUUUUUUUUGUCAUUCAUGAAGUUGUAAGAUCAACUUGCAUAUGUUCUUAAUAAGGAUCCAACUGAGUAUAUCAUAACUUACCCAACAAAUUGAACAUUGAUGUUCCAUCGACAAAAUUAUGGGAGUGCUAGCGCGAGCCCGCACAAUUGGGCCCAAGUUACUUAUUUAUCUAUUGUAUCUAGAGUUUAGGUCCUAAUCCGAUCCCCACAAACAAAAUUAUCUCAAAAAAGGUAAAACCUUACUUGUCCCAAUUUUUUUGAUCCAUAAUAUAAUCCAACAAAAACUAACAAUAUAAAAGAAAUAAUCAUUAUUAACGCAAUAAAUUUAUUACAGUUUUUAAUACCUUUUAUUUUUGUUUCUUAUCUCUACAUGAUUUUGGAGGUCAGGGAUCACACUAGGCCUGGCAAUUCCUGACACGACCCAAUAACCCGACACGACACGACACGACACGAAAUUAACAGGUGUUCGGGUCGACACGAUAACGAAACGGGUCGUUAUCGGGUAACCCGAUAAGCACAUGUUAAGAUAACAGGUUGGUUCGGGUAUACACGUGGGUAACACGAUACACGAUAAGCAGAAUAUUAAUUUAAUAAUUUUAUAACCCUAAAAAAAUACUAUAAUGAUUAUAGAUAUUAAUUUAACAAUUUUAUACCCCUAAAAACUAUAAUAAUUAUAUAUAUAUAUAUAUAUAUAUUAACUAUAAUAAUUAUAAUAAUUAUAUAUACUAUAAUAAUUAUACCCCCAAAAUAUUAACUAUAAUAGUUAUAUUUAUAUAUAUAUAUAUAUAUAUUAAAUUUUAUACCCCUAAAAACUAUAAUAAUUAUACAUACAAAAUAAAUAGAUUUAAAUCUACUUAAUAAAUAUAUAUAUAUAUACACACACACCAUUGAAAUUCAUGGGAUACGAAUUAUACGAAACUAAUUUCAACGAUCCAACCGUCAUACUUGUUUGUAUAUGCUUCGAGAUCGCAUCAGCAAAAAAUAACAAAAAAAAAACAUUCACAGAUCAAGUAACGAAACAAAACUUUCCGACAAUUAUAAACGAAAAAUCACGAUUUAACGGUUAUUUUAACUCCGAUUUUGAUGAUUUUUUACAGCUACACUCCUUGACCCUAUAUGAAUACAAUGAAUGAAUUCGAUCUUCAAUUUAAAAUAUUUACACUAGUGGAUACCACAAAAUCUUAUGUUAUACAUGAUGAAAGUAUGAAUAAACUCUUAAAUGUUAGUGAAUCUAUUGUUUUGAUGGGAUACGUUCCACGAAACUAAUUUCAACGAUCUAACCGUCAAACAUGUUUUUAUAUAAUUCGAGAUCACAUACGCCAAAAAUUGCAAAAAACAAACAUUCAGAGAUCAAGUAACGAGACAAAACUUUUCGACAGUUAUAAACGAAAAAUCACAAUUUAACGGUUAUUAUAACUUCAAUUUUGAUAAUUUUUUACAGCUACACUCCUUGACCCUAUAUGAAUACAAUGAAUGAAUUCGAUCUUCAAUUUAAAAUAUUUACACUAGUGGAUACCACAAAAUCUUAUGUUAUACUUAAUGAAAAUAUAAAUAAACUCUUAAGUGUUAGUGAAUCUAUUGUUUUGAUGAGAUACGCAUUUUGCGAAACUAGUUUCAACAAUCCAACCGUCAAAAUUGUUUGUAUAUGCUUUGAGAUCGCAUACGCCAAAAAUUGCAAAAAAAAUAAAAUUCAGAGAUCAAGUAACGGGACAAAACUUUUCGACGGUUAUAAACGAAAAAUUACGAUUUAACGGUUAUUUUGACUCCGAUUUUGAUGAUUUUUUACAGUUACACUCCUUGACCCUAUAUAAAUACAAUGAAUGAAUUCGAUCUUCAAUUUAAAAUAUUUACACUAGUGGAUACCACAAAAUCUUUAUGUUAUACUUGAUGAAAGUAUGAAUAAACUCUUAAGUGUUAGUGAAUCUAUUGUUUUGAUGGGAUAUGCAUUCUACGAAACUAGUUUCAACGAUCCAACCGUCAAACAUGUUUGUAUAUACUUCGAGAUCGGAUACGCCAAAAAUUGCAAAAAAAAAACAUUCAGAGAUCAAGUAACAGGACAAAACUUUUUGACGGUUAUAAACAAAAAAUCACGAUUUAACGGUUAUUUUAACUCCGAUUUUGAAACUUUUUUACAGCUACACUCCUUGACCCUAUAUGAAUACAAUGAAUGAAUUCGAUCUUUAAUUUAAAAUAUUUACACUAGUGGAUACCACAAAAAUCUUAUGUUAUACUUAAUGCGAAAAGUAUGAAUAAACUCUUAAGUGUUAGUGAAUCUAUUGUUUUGAUGAGAUACGCAUUUUACGAAACUAGUUUCAACGAUCCAACCGUCAAACUUGUUUGUAUAUGCUUCGAGAUCGCAUAUGCCAAAAAUUGCAAAAAAACAAACAUUCAGAGAUCAAGUAACGGGACAAAACUUUUCGACGGUUAUAAACGAAAAAUCACGAUUUAACGGUUAUUUUAACUCCGAUUUUGAUGAUUUUUUACAGCUACACUCCUUGACCCUAUAUAAAUACAAUGAAUGAAUUCGAUCUUCAAUUUAAAAUAUUUACACUAGUGGAUACCACAAAAUCUUAUGUUAUACUUGAAUGAAAGUAUGAAUAAACUCUUAAGUGUUAGUGAAUCUAUUGUUUUGAUGGGAUACGCAUUCUACGAAACUAGUUUCAACGAUCCAACCGUCAAACAUGUUUGUAUAUACUUCGAGAUCGCAUAUGCCAAAAAUUGCAAAAAACAAACAUUCAGAGAUCAAGGAACAAGACAAAAUUUUUAAACGGUUAUAAACGAAAAAUCACGAUUUAACGGUUAUUUUAACUCCGAUUUUGAUGAUUUUUUACAGCUACACUCCUUGACCCUAUAUGAAUACAAUGAAUGAAUUCGAUCUUCAAUUUAAAAUAUUUACACUAGUGGAUACCACAAAAUCUUAUGUUAUACUUAAUUAAAGUAAGAAUAAACUUUUAAGUGUUAGUGAAUCUAUUGUUUUGAUGCGAUACGCAUUAUACGAAACUAGUUUCAAAACGAUCUAAACCGUCAUAACUUGUUUUUGUAUAUGCUUCGAGAUCGCAUACGCCAAAAAUUGCAAAAAAAAAAACAUUUAAAGAUUAAGUAACGGGACACAACUUUUCGACGGUUAUAAACGAAAAAUCAUAAUUUAACGGUUAUUUUAACUCCGAUUUUGAUGAUUUUUUACAACUACACUCCUUGACCCUAUAUGAAUACAAUGAUUGAAUUCGAUCUUCAAUUUAAAAUAUUUACACUAGUGAAUACCUCAAAAUCUUAUGUUAUACUUAAUGAAAGUACGAAUAAACACACUAGUGGGUCACUUUCAUUAAGCUUUGAGUUCUAUUGGCAAUGUUUAAACUUUUGAGAAAGGCUUCACAACCUUGAAAACAAAAACACUUUCAUUUUGCAUAUCCUUGCACAUUUAAUAUUUGUAAUAGAUUAGUAGUGUAUGGAUGUAUUUUUUAUGAGGCUCUUAUUUUCGAGUGUAGAUGUAGUACUUAAGCGACAAAUGUGUUUUAAUGUUUUGAACUAAUAUUUAUGUGACAAUGUGUGGUAUGUGUAAAUUUAAGAAAAAAAUAUAUUUUUCUUAACGGGUCAUAAUGGGUCAUAACGGGUCGGGUAAAGUGACCCGACCUGUUAAGGACCCGUUAAGAUAACAGGUGUGACACGACACGACCCAUUAAGAUAACAGGUGUUACAUGAAAACGACACGAAUACGACUGACACGACCUGUUUGCCAGGCCUAGAUCAUGCCCACAUACACGUUCUUUGUUUUUUCGUUUGUGUUUGUUUCCCUUUUUUUAUUUUAAUUUUUUGGGAUCAUAUAGUGAAUAAUUUAUAGAACUUAUAUCAAAUUUAACAAGGUGGCAUUCUGGGUGGCGGCGGCAGCAACUUUUCCUCAUGUUUUCCGUUCUUUACAAUGAGAACGGUGUUCAUUCCCCAGGUUAAGUGACGCUCCAAAUGGCAAUGCAUUAACCACACUCCUGCAUUUUUUUUUUCAGAAAAGAAAGAUUGAAAAUUAGGAUGAAAAAUUUAUCAAUCCCAUAUAUUAAACAAAUGUUAACUAGUUGUCGAUGAGAUUAGGAGAAGAAAAAAAAAGCAUGCGGCCACAUUCUCGUCACUUAUGUUUGUUGUUGACGUGUUAGACAUAAAAGUUCGUCACAAGUGUAGGAACGUGUGAGAAUGUGAAAAAAUAUGGAAGAGGAUCCUCUCCUGAGCAUUGUAUGGGGAUCCUCAUGACCAGACCAUCUGGACCGUUCAAAUUUAAUCCAAUGGCUCCAAACAGGGGGACUCUCUAAAAGUUAUAAUAAUUGCAACCGUUGGAUUAAAUUUGAACGGUCCAGAUGAUCUGGUCAUGAGGAUCCCCAUACAAUGCUCAGGAGAGGAUCCUCUUCCAAAAAAAAUCACACAUAUACAAAAAAAUGUCACCAUGUUGUAAACAUUCCUAGUUUAAGUGUGAUUGUAUAAAUCCUGGAUUAGAUUUGAUUCUAGUUAUCCUUUUCUAUUGUAUCUUGUAUUCCUUGGGGAUGAAUAUCCUUUCUCUUUAUAUUACUAUAAAUAAAUGCACAAUGUAGAAGGGAUAACAACACACAUUCCCCUACAAUUCUACAAACACAUCUCUCUCUCUUCUUCUCCUUGCCGCCGACCACCCUAAAUAUUGUCAGAUAAAAUAGGCUACAACACGUUAUCAACACAUUUUUACUUCUGCGCUUAGGAAUCUGACGCUAGAGAAUUUUUCUGCAUCAAACCAGUUCAUCCAUAUCAUCAUGCAAUCAGGUUCUUUCAAAACAACGGUUUUUAACUCGAUAUUUUUGCAACCUUGAUAGCAUGAACAUUCACCAUGAUACAUGACCCAACUUCACGUUUUACGAAUUUUAGAUUCUACAUAAAUUGUGUAUGCCUCGUAAUCAUAAUUGUUGAAUUUUUUGAAUUUGAUAGUGGUUAUGAAUUGCAUCAAAUAUAUUUGUAUAUGCAUCAAAUUGAAUUCAAUUAACAUAUUAUUGUUUUGAAUAUGCAUAUAAUUGAAUUAUAUAUGAAUUAAAAAAAAAAUUGGGAACCUAGGGUUCUUUCGAACCCGUGACCACCAUCCUGCAGAUGGGUUUCCCCAAGCCAAGCCGAGAGCCUGCAACUCUCUUUCUCCCUAGAAAACCCACAGAGCCAGAAGCUCCGAGUCUCAAAACCUGACACCUUUCAUGGUGUCCUCGACCAUGGCAUGGCCUGUAGCCAUUGCCUUGAACCUUUGGUUCAUGUUGCUGACGACCAGAAGUCGUCCCACGUAAAAAAAAUUGGACUGAGAUUCGCUGGAAUCUUGUCAGAAUUUUUUUUUGAAAUUCUGAUUCAAUUUUUCUAGGGUUUGAUUGAAACGAUUGAGAUUUUAAUAUCUCCAAGUUGUAAUCAUAGUUGAAAACACCCCGAAAGGGUACCCCCGAGUCUUCCCGUCCAAGAUUUGGCCACCUGCAGUGGCGGCACCAAUCACCUUCUCCAGUGGAAUCACCUAGCCUCGCUAGGAUUUCUUGGAUCAAGCCUGACCCCAAAUUUUUUGGGCCUGGCCUUGACUCAGGCUGAAAAACAUAAAGUUUUUUUUCUUUUGGGCUCGCCACUGCAACCCCAGUUCGACCCACUCAUUUUUCGGCCCAGCGCUGCAUCACACCAAUCCAAAUGGGCUUUGGUGUUCUCCCGUGCCUAGCGCUGCAGCGGAACCCAGCCCGUGCAACUGCUGUGCUUUCGCUGCAUCGUGAUUCAAACGAUUGAGGCCUUCUUUGGGCCUCUGCCACCUGGGCCUACGUCUGCAGCCUAACCCUAUGCAUACGGGCUUAUUGCCCUGUCUCGGCCCGACUUAUUUCCAGCCCAGAUUGGGCUUGGACCCCUCGACACCCAUGCUUAUGUAUUCUUUUUGGGCCCCGAAUUUUAUUUGCCUAAUUAUUUUAGGCCCAAUGGGUUUUAUAUUUUUUCACCCACACUUUAACUUGGCCUGAAGACCAAAUAAAUUCAAUUAUAAUUAUAAACCUAAAAUUAUAUUUUUCGCAUAUUCUUGUUGCAUAUUUUGUUUGCAUAUAUAUUUGUGUUUGCUUGCAAGAAUAUAUGAACCUGAAGUUCAAAAUUAUUUUGAAACCUGAAGUUUCUUAUAAACAUGCCUUGUUUGAAAACCUGAAGUUUUUCAUUUAAACACAUCACCCAUAAAAACCCGAAGUUUUUCAUGCAAAAUUAAACCAAAUCGUGUCUAUUAGAACCUGUAUGUUCUACUCCUAUGUGAAUGGAUUGAUUUUUCUCCAUUACAUUAACCACAUCUUGUCCAUCUAUUUUGUGAUAGGAACAUGUCGAAUUUGAACAAACUCGAUUUCACCACUUUAGAGGUCUCUGGAAGGAACUACCUCAAGUGGGUCCAAGAUGUGAAGCUCCACCUCAUUGCAAAGAACUUGUGUCCUGCCAUUGAAGAAGCAAUAGACGAGCCUGUUGGUGAAGCUGGAAAAGCUACUGCUAUGAUCUUCAUUCGAAGACAUAUUCAUGACACUCUGCAAAUUGAAUAUCUUGCUGAGGAGAAUCCACAUGCACUAUGUGUUGCUUUAGCUGAUCGUUUUGAUCACCAAAAGGACAUAUUUUUGCCUGAAGUAAGACACGACUGACAACAUUUGCACUUCCAAGACUUUAAGUCUGUGAAUGAAUAUAAUUCUGAAGUUUAUUGAAUCCGAUCACUUCUCAAGUUUUGCAAUGAAACUUUGACUGAAGAAGAUCUCUUGGAGAAUACCUAUUCGACCUUCUCUGCUUCUAAUAUUGUCUUGCAGCAACAAUAUAGAGCUCAAAAGUUCACUAAGUUAUUGGAUUUGAUCUCUGUUUUACUUAUCGCUGAAAAGUAGAACCAGCUGUUGAUGAAGAAUCAUCAAGCUCGACUUACUGGGGCGACUGCUAUGCCUGAAACACAUUAUAGCAAUCACCAAUGCCCAAAACGCCAAAGAGGGAGUGGUAGGGGCGGCCAGAAGCCAUCCCACCAAGGUCAAUAGAGUCAAGGCCCAUCCAAGGGAGGAAACAAAGCCUAGAAGUGCCCAAACCUCGCUCUCAAGGCCCCAAACUUCAAGAAUAAAGGCAAAGCACUUGAAACCAUGGAUGCGGACAUGUGCUAUCGCUGUGGUUCAAAUGACCAUUGGUCCCGUGUUUGCCGAGCUCCCAUGAAGGUUGUAGAUGAAUAUCAUUCUCGUCGUAAGAAGUUUGAAUCAAACUUCAUGCAAGUGGACGAACCGGAAACUAUAAAGAUGGAGGUUUCUGAUUUUCAGGCGGAUACCACCCUUAGGGAAGAUUAGAAUCUUAGACAUAGACUUAUUUUUAGUUGAAAUAAGACAAUUGGGGCUGAAUUCCACCUAGUGGCCUAACCCCUCUUUCGUUUUUGGUUGAUUUUUGAACAAUUUUCCUUUCUGUUUGGAUUAUUAGUUGGUGAUUUGUUUUGGAUAUUAAGUUUUAAUCCUUGAAUAAAUGAAAAUAUUUUGAAUUGAUAUUUGUUUUUAUAAUAAACUUUUAUGCAUGUGACCGAUUCAAAUUAAUUCUUCAUUUUAGGUAUGACUAGUAGGAAAGUUAGUUGUCUGGCAGAUAGUGUAACCACGCACACAAUUUUGCAUGAACGCAUCUAUUUUACUAACUUUAUACCUAAGAAUGCACCUCUGACAACCCUCUUAGGCCCAUCCAACCUGAUAGAAGAGUACGUUAAGGCUGUAUAAUGUUGUCUAAUGGUACAAUCUUGACCAUUUCUGAGGCACUCUAUUCUCCACGUUCCGGAAGAACGUUGUUAAGUUUCAAGGAUGUUAGAGAUAACAAUUACCACGCUGAAACCCACGUAGAAAACAAAGUUGAAUUUCUGUGCAUAACUUCCUACGAAUAAGGCCAGAAGCGUAUUUUAGAGAAGCUGAAACGUAUCCCAAGUGGUUUGUUUACUACGACCAUACGCCCCAUUGAAUACCACUAUGUGGCCCGCCCUACUAUUGGGACCGCGCACCAAAUUACACUUUGGCAUGAUCGUUUGGGACAUCCUGGACGAAUAGCGAUACGUCGUAUCCUUAAAUCUUCACAUGGGCAUCCACUAACCUAAAGUUUAGGUUCGAUCCAAGGAAUCACAUGUCAAACAUGUUCGAUGGGAAAGCUUAUUACUAAGCCUUCUUAUGACAAGAUUCAUUCGAAUCCUUCCAUUUUUCUACAACGGAUUCAGGGGGACAUUUGUGGACCUAUUCACCAUUCUUGCGGACCAGUUAUAUACUUUAUGGUUUUGGUUGACACUUCUACACGUUGGCCACACGUGUGUUUGUUGUCCACAAGGACUGCUGCAUUCUCCAAACUGUUGGCUUAGGUUAUCAAGCUCAGGGCUCACCACCCUGAUUAUCCGAUCAAAUCUAUUCGAUUGGAUAAUGCUGGAGAAUUCACAUCUAAAACUUUUGAUGACUAUUGCAUGUCGGUUGGGGUUGAAGUUGAACAUCAUGUACCCUAUGUUCACACCCAUAAAGGCCUGGCAGAGGCUUUCAUUAAGCGCUUACAAAUGAUUGCUCGAUCGUUGGUCUACGUACUAAGCUCCCGAUUGCUGCUUAGGGUCAUGCAAUAUUGCACGCAGCAAAGUUGGUCCGCCUGAGACUUGUUGUGACACAACCAUUUAGUGCCCUUCAGUUGGUUACCGGAUACGAACCCAACAUAUUGCAUCUGCAUGUUUUUAGUUGUGUGAUAUAUGUGCCGAUCUCACCACCCUUACGUACAAAAAUGGGGCCUCAACGAAGGAUAAGAAUCUAUGUCGAAGAUGAUUCUCCUUCCAUUAUUCGUUAUUUAGAACCUUUAACAGGUGAUCUGUUUACUGUUCGUUUCGCGGAUUGUCACUUCUAUGAGACAGUCUUCUCGUCGUUAGGGGGAGAUAAAAAUGUCAACAUUUUUGAAGAAAGACGCGAAGUAUUGUGGACGACUCCCACUUUGUCUCAUUUAGAUCCUCGCACUGCUCAGUUUGAAACUGAAGUGCAGUGCAUAUUAGAUCUCCAGAGCAUAGCUUAGAGCAUGCCAGAUGCUUUCACCAAUCUAGCGCGCGUGACAAGAUUACAUAUUCCAACUGUGAAUACGCCUGCAAAGAUAGAUGUACCAAAUGUACGACAGACUGCCCUUUUGGAAGCCCGAGACGCCAAUCUUGGUGAUCCACGUACAUUAGUGGCUAGCCAAUCAUCUGCCCCUACACAAAAGCGUGGCAGACCCCUUGGUUCAAAGGAUUCACACUUUCGGAAUAGGAAAACCACGACAUAAGGUAAGGUCCUGAAGAACCGUGAAAUUUUGGUUUAUUAUGCUAUCUUGGAUGAUGUGUGGCGUAGAAAUGAGAUGAUUGUCGACGAUGCCUUAGCAUUUACAGAAGCUACUGAGAUCAUGUUGAGCGAUGACAUUGAACCGCGUUCCGUUGAUGAAUGUCAACGUAGAACUGAUUGGUCAAACUGGAUACAAGUAAUCCAAGUCAAACUUGAUUCGCUUGUGAAACGUAAGGUGUUUGGACUUGUAGCUCCUACUCUUCAACAUGGGAAGCCCGUUGGCUACAAGGGGGUUUUCGUUCGGAAGUGUAAUGAGAAGAACGAAAUUGUGAGUUACAAAGCUCGUCUUGUUGCACAAGGCUUCUCACAACGCCCCGGGAUUGACUAUGAUGAAACCUAUUCACCCGUUAUGGAUGUAAUUACUUUUCGCUACCUUAUCAGUUUGGUAGUUUCCGAAAAAUUGGAUAUGCAGCUGAUAGACGUAGUAACCAUGUAUCUCUAUCUGGAUCUUGAUACGGAAAUCUAUAUGAAAGUUCCCGAAUGACUUACAUUGACUGGUUCAAAUAUUUCCAAACCCCGGAACACACUCUCAAUUCGGCUGAGGUGUUCAUUCUACGGUUUGAAACAAUCCGGAAGAAUGUGGUAUAACCGUCUAAGUGAGUAUUUGAGUAGUUAGGGAUAUGUGAACAACAAACGAUACCCUUGUGUGUUCAUUAAGAAGUCACAUUCUGGAUUUGCGAUUGUUGUAGUAUAUGUCGAUGACAUGAAUCUUAUUGGAACUCCUGAAGAGCUCGCGAGAACUGUUGCACACCUGAAGUCAGAAUUUGAGAUGAAAGAUCUAGGUAAGACUCGAUACUGUCUCAGUCUCGAGAUAGAGCAUUGUUCAGAUGGAAUUCUAUUACAUCAAUUGAACUACACCCAAAAAAUGUUGCGCCACUUUAAUGAGGAUAAAGCGAAGUCUUCGAGUACUCCUAUGGUUGUUCGUUCGCUAGAUGCAAAACAAGAUCCCUUUCGUCCGAAGGAGGAUGAUGAAGAGAUUUUGGAGUCUGAAGUUCCUUAUCUAAGUAUGAUAGGCGCUUUAUUGUACUUAGCUCAAUGCACUAGACCCGACAUCUCCUUUGAUGUUAAUCUUUUGGCAAGAUACAGUAAUGCACCUAUACGCUGACACUGGACUAGCGUGAAAGACAUCUUUCGUUACCUUAAAGGUACUACGAAUUUGGGCUUGUUCUAUCCCUACAAAUCCUCGAAUGGUGCCGCACCCUAUGCUCUUCAAGUUGAUUCUCACCUUGUUGGUUAUGCCAACGCAUGAUACUUAUCUGAUCCGCACAUGGCGCGCUUUCAAACGAGUUAUAUCUCUAUCGUUGGAGGCACUGCAAUCUCUUGGAGGUCAACUAAACAAACCUUAGUUGCCACUUCGUCUAACCAUGUUGAAAUUCUUGCCUUACAUGAAGCAACUCAGGAAUGCUUUUGGUUGAGAGCAGUAGUGGGCCAUAUUCGAAGCUCCUGUGAUCUUCAUCCCGCCGUUGAUGUCUCGAUGACGAUCUUUGAAGACAACGCAGCUUGCAUCGAACAGCUCAAGAAGGGUUACAUCAAAUGAGACAACACCAAGCACAUUGCGUUGAAGUUUUUCUUUUCACAUCAGCAACAAGAGCAUCAGAAGAUUGAGGUCAAGCAAAUCCGUUCACAAGACAAUCUGGCCGACCUCUUCACCAAAUCACUGCCGAAGACGACGUUUCAGAAGCUUGUUCAUGGAAUUGGUAUGUGUAAACUUUCUAAGUUGUAACUUUGCUAUUUCUCUUUGGAAUUAUGUCAAACUCAGAGGGAGUAGAUACUUGCUUGAUCUUAAUGUACUAUUUUUCCCAACGAUUAGGAGCAUUUUUCCCACUGGGUUUUUGCUACCUAACUAGGUUUUAACAAGACACUUACUUUGGGUUGGUCAUAUCCCCGAUGACGUCCCGUAAACGUUUAUUUGACUUUUGCAUUUCUCACCAUUUUUCCUUAGACUAUGGAUUUUGUCCCUCCUCGGGUUUUUGCCAUAGCCUUAGGGUUUUUUUAGUGAGACUUACUACUUAUGCAAGUUCCUAUCUUAUUGAGAAUAAGCGUUAUUCCUUAGAAUCGGUGCCAAUGAGUCGACUUCCUCAACUUUUGCAUGAUGCUAAAUCUACCUUGAGUAUUUACACACUCAAGGGGGAGUGUUGUAAACAUUCCUAGUUUAAGUGUGAUUGUGUAAAUCCUAUAUUAGAUUUUAUUCUAGUUAUCCUUUCCUAUUUGGGAAUGAAGGAAUAUCCUCUUUCCUUAUAUUACUAUAAUAAAGGCACAAUGUAGGAGAGAUAACAACACACAUUCCCCUACAAUUACCAUAUAGUUGUGCCCAAAUUUGGCACGUUAGCAUCAAUUUGGCAAUAUUAGUCUCUGAUAAUUAAUUUUAUUAAGAUUAAUCAUUUAAUGACUGACUUUAGGAAUACUUACCCGGAUUGUCGGCUUUGAAUCUGAUGGCAGUCCAACCACUUAUGGGCACAGUGGCAGUGUUCCUCAUAGGAGGAUCAACGAGAUUGUAAUUUAAUGGGUCCUGAUUUUCGUCGAAGUUCCCUGGCCCUCGUCCUACUAUAAAGAAGCUAUAGCCGUGCAAAUGCAUUGGAUGAUCUAUCGGUGCAGUCACAAUCGUCCCUUGAAAAACAAUUUCCACAUUUGCUCCGUAUUUAAUAACUUUCACCUUUGUCGCUUUCUUUGGUAUCUGUACUAGGAAUGGUAGGGUUUCACCGGUAAAAUUAAACACCAGCGGUGGAGAAUUUGGGAACCCCAUUUUGUAGACCCCAUGAAUGUGAUAGUAGUAGGCUUCUAGGAUGUCUACUGUUGUGGGGGUUACAAAGCUUAUAUUGUUCAUGCUAGCGGAUAGGCGGGUGCCAUUUGGAGCACAUGAAUUGUUGGGGCAUGGCAAUGUGUUGACUGAAAUUGUGGUGAGUAUUCUUCUGGUGAUGUUUAACGGGACAUCAAUUGGGUGGUCUUUAUUAGCAAGGCUUCUAAGGCUAUCAAGGAAAUUGAAGGCCGAAUUUGUGUCGUUGUAGUACGGAAGGUAAGGGAAUACUGGAGUUGAAAACGGAGUGGAGUUACCACUGUAUCGUAAUAUUGCUGUGGUUGUGGUGUUGUCAAAGGCAAUAGAAGGACUGCUUGAGUAAGCCCUAGCAGCCAUGUAAUAUUGACCAACUUGUUGGUUCGUGAGCAACAAGGCAUCCAUGGUUUGUCCUGGGGAUAUUGUGACAUAAUCUCUUGCCACCGGCUUUGUGUAGCUCCCGUCUACUCCCACCACUGUGAGGUUAUGUUGAGCAACUGAGAAGAAGAGAAUGCUAUUCAUUGCCGCGUUUACAAGUCUGAGCAGAUGGGUCUUGUUUUGAUCAACAAAGAGUUUGAAUGUAUCUGCAAAAUUAAAGAAGUGGAUUGAAGAAAUUUGAAAAAGUCUAAAUUACUCGAAGUAGCCUUUAAUUAAUAGUUGUUCACAUCCACAAAGUGAAAGUAGGUCACGUGCAAGACUUGACUCAAAAUAGCAUGCUGCGGAGAGAUGCAAAAUAGUUGUAUAUACCUGGACCUGAGCAAGGAUAGAGGUCUCCGGGCUGUCCAUUUAUGGUGUGAGCAUCGGAAACAUUGGGUUCUCCUCCGUUUCUAACGAAUUCUUCCAACACUGCCAUUACAUCGCUCUUCCACCACUGGCCUGCGUUUUCAACAAGUUUAAGCUGUUUGUUCAAGAGACUCCAUUAUUAAGUAUACGUAUGCCUAUAUUUAUACUUAAUUACUCAGUAAAUUUAGGAUUGCUUGUGCUCAAAUUUAUUUCUUUUUCCACAUAUGUAAGCCGGUGAGUUUAGGGUUAUUGUCCUUAUUUUUGGUGAUCGGGAAUUGAUAUAUAUGUAGCUCCUCGUUUAAACAAUGGCUUUGAUACCAUGUAAACUAUGAGUUGGAGAGGCCAAUAUGUAUUACACAGCCCAAUCGACUGGGGUUCCGUUAUAUAAUUAUUUGCCGUAAUUUAGUUUGCUUAAGAAAAGCACCUAAUAUUAUUGGCACUUCUUCGUGAUCAGGUUUAGGAAAUGGAUAGCUAGCUCCUCGUUUUGGAUAGACAAUGAUUGCUCCAUGAACUGUGGCUCUUGACCAGUCACUGUGUGCAUGCCACCAGAUGGUUCCCUCCUCUUCUGAAAAUAUAAUCUUUUGUGUGAAAUUAUCCCCAGGUUGAAUUGGACAUUGCGUGAUGUAUUCAGGGCCAUCUGACCAUGGAUUCCUUGGUUGCCUUACUCCAUGCCUGCGAGCAAAAAUUGCAUUUUAUUUUACAACUUCUUGCUCCAAUUUGUUUACUGAGCCAUAUACAGACUUAAUUUAAACUAAUUAAUUAGUUAAAUUACAUAGGAAGUCACAUAUUGCAUGUUAAUUAUAUAUUACCAGUGAAUUGUGAUGUUGUGGCUGCCUUCGUUGUGGACAUUAACAUAAACUGUAUCACCUUUGUGAGCUCGUAAAACUGGUCCAGGAAAUUUUCCAUUUACUGUUAAUAUUUUCUUAGAGCUACACAGCCUUGUAUACGUAGCUUCUUUCACCUGCAAAUCCAAAAUAUACAGAGUAACUUGAAGAAAAACUCAAAAAAAUAAUAAAAAUAAAAGAUAGGCAUGCACGAAUGCACUUGAAGUUGAAGAAAGCAUGUACAUACCACCCAAUGAUACUGGUUCGAUGCAGUACAAUCAAAUGAGAAGAAGUAUAGUAGUAGUAAUGAUAAAAUUUGCACGAUUCCAGCACUAUCUCUCUUUCCAGACCACAUAAUUUUUAUUCUGCUUUUGCUUCUACUUAAAACACAUCUGAAAGCAUUCACUUGGUCAAUUUAUAGAAGUUGUAGUACAUCAAGUUAAAGAACAAAUGUAUUUUCCAUUUUUUAUAAUUAUCUCAAUGAUAGUGAAGUUAUAGAUAAACAUGAAAAUUUGUACAUGGAUUGGUCACCUACAAAAGUUUACGUAUAUUGAUGGGAUAAUACUUUAGUACUCACUAGUUAGUACCAUAUAUAUUCACUUUUUAAUUUGGCUCAAUCAAAAUAUGUCAUAUGUUUUUUGUUUUUAAAAGUCCAAGAAAAAUUAAAUAACAUAUGCACUAUUUUUUUUAAACAAUAAAAGUUAUUAAACACGCCUUAUAAUAUUAUUGGACCACAUCUAAAAUGUGAGUAUAUAAAGUACUAACUAGUGAGUAUCUAAAUAUUAUUCUAUUUGACGCUAUAUUUACUCUUUUUUUGCAGUUUUUCAUGCAAUUAAGUUGUGGAACCGGAACAUUUCAAUUUUUUAAUAUUACUAUGUUGCUUAUUAUUAUUAUUUUUACAUAAAAACAAAGAAAUAAGUUAAUUUAGUCAAUACAGCUCACUAUACAGCUAUUUGGACCACUGUCCCUUUUUCGUAAAUGUGGUAACAUUCUUCUUUAAAUAUAUAUGAUUGUAUCAAAAAAUUUGUGAUAAAAAUAAGGAAAAAUUACACAUAGAGGAUACUUUAAUAUUUAAUUUUUUUAUUAAGACAACAUGCUUUUAACAUUUUAAGGAGAGACAAAAGUUAAUAGAUGACAUCAUUGACCUUUUUUUUCUUUAGAGUGUAAAUUAUAAAAAUACCCAAACGACUACAAUUCUUUGCUUGACAAGGGCCUACAAUUCUCCGGAGGGUAUUGAUCGAGUUCACAUGUAUCCCCACCUUGCCCAACUUGAAGUUGUAAUCAAAGUCGAAAAGCAAGCCGCAAUGGAUUUGAUUCGUGACAAGAAAAAGGAAAGAGCUUGGAUAUGCAUGUCCCUUCAUGCAUUUACUAAUACUAUUCUAAGUCAUGCAUGAAACCUACACAUUUGUCCCUUCAUGCCACUUGGAUAUAUAUGUCCCUUCAUGCCACUUGGUUAUAAGCAAACAUCAUGCAUUUACUAAUACUAUUCUAAGUCAUGCUUGGUUAUAAACAAACAUCAUGCACAUCAUGCAUUUACUAAUACUAUUCUAAGUCAUGCUUGGUUAUAAGCAAACAUCAUGCAUUUACUAAUACUAUUCUAAGUCAUGCAUGAAACCUACACAUUUGUCCCUUCAUGCCACUUGGUUAUAAGCAAACAUCAUGCACAGGUUGUUUACUAAUUAGUAUUACUACUAUUAAGCUUGUAUCAUGACCGUUUUCUUUCUGUUAUUCAUACGCCCAAGACAUUGUAAGAAAUAAUGUUGAUUAUUCAAAACGAAUCAACAACUAGUUGCACAGGGUCACAGUCAAUGAUACUCCCAACUUGAUAAAAAAAGAAAAAAAAAGGAAGUCUGACUUCCAAACUAAAAUAAAAUGUAUAAAUACAGAAAAUUGUUAUUAGCACUUCAAAAAUUUCAUUUGGCACUCCAAACUUUUUAUAAUUAGAAAGAAAAAUACGCUUGUGCAAAGAGUAGAAUGAGAUUUUUGGAGUGCUAAUAACAGUUCCCUAAAUAUGUCAUAACAAAUACUGUAUGUGGCAUUGACUUAGACUUUCACGAAUAGGCUUAUAAUUUUUGGUAUCUAAUAAAUAUCUAGAUUGAAAAUAUCCAUCGAUCUACAAAAUUUUCUCAUGGAGGUACCCAUUUUUUUGCCACAAAUACCAAUAUAGAGGCUAAAAGACAAUAUGUUAUUAAAUUCAUAUGUGGUCGAGAUAUUUAUGAAUUCAAUCAUUAAAGCGCAUAAGUUCAAUGAUACAUUCAAGUUAGAUCAAUUCCCGAAAUUUUGGUCAACAAUAAAACUGCUUACCUAUGAGUUCACCUAUAAAACGUGCAAAUGCAAUAUACUUUUUAACCACAGUUCUAUGUAUUGUGAAUUUUUUUUCCGCAACUUUUGUGGCAUAUAGAGGCUAAAAGAUACUACGAUAUCAAAUUCAUAUAUGGUUGAAAUAUUUAUCAGUUUAAUCAUUAGAAUGCAUAAACUCAAUUACACAUCCAUGUUAGAUCAAUUCCCGAAGUUUUGCUCCACAAUAAAAACUGCAUAGCUAUAAGAUUCUCAUGGUUUCGACAAAAAGUUAUCAUGGACAUACCCAUUUUUCUACCAUAGAUAGGAAUAUAGAGGCUAGAAGAUUCUCAUUUAAUUGAAACAUACCAAACUCAUUAAACACUCUAACCAGAAGCUCAUACCGAUUGUGGAGCCAAAAAUAAUCACAAGGCGACACAUGAAUUUUUGGGUUAAAGGGACAAAAUUACCCUCAAGGCAUACCCGGAUUCUUACACGCGAGUAGUGGGCAAUCAACCCUCAACCAAGUCAAAAGUGCCCAAAAUAGGUAAUAAUUCAAAACAUAUUUCAUCCAUCCUCAUCAAAUCCUCUCCACAAGGUAAACCCCCAAAACAUUCCUUUCAAAAUUAUAUUAAUUAGCCAAUUAAUUGAUUUAUUACCUAAUUAAUCUAUUAAUUGGCUAAUUAACUACAAAUUACACCCAAAAAUGCCACAAAGGGCUGGUCACCAUCUCUCCAAAGGGGACCGGCCAUGCCCUAUAUAUACCACCCCAUUUUCUCUAAAAACCUAAGUUCUACACUCUUGCUAAAUUCUCUAAAUUCUCCAAACACUUUUCCCUCAAAUUCUAACUUUGGCAUUGGAGGUUCUUCGGCCAAAGCGCCCCACUCCCCCCAAUUCAUCAUGGGCGUGUGACGCUCUUGGCCUUGACCUAAGGUGUUGUUUGUUUUGUAGGUGCAAUUUUGUCCAGGAACAAGGAGGAAGAAAUUUGCAUCCACACCGAUUAUUAAGCUAGUUAGUGCUCUAGAAAUUUAGAGAUGUCAAAUGAUGAAUAAAAGGAAGAGGAAGAGGUUUGGAUGACUACAGAGGACUAGAUGGGGGUGCAGAAUGACAACCAUGGGAGAUGGAAGGAUUUUUUUAAAGAGAGAGAGAAGGGGAUUUGCUCCAUGGAGAUGAUGGACUGUUUAGAGUUUUAUUUUUUAUUUUUAAGUAUAUUGAGUUGGGUGUAAAAAGAAGUUUGAUUGAGUUGAGUUUUGAUAAGUAAAGGCGGUUUCGGAAAUAAUGUUGGGUGUAAAUAGAUAAUGAUAGAUAAAUCAAAUACAAUGUGGAUAUAAAAAGUAAGUUGGGUGUUGAGAUACAAAAUAUGGGUUCAAAUAAAAUUUCCCUAUUAAUUUUGUUAGAGUUGUGAGGGUUGUGUUAUAUUAAUAGCCUUAAAGCCUUAGGAGUAUGAUUGAUAUUUUAAAACAUUGUUUUUAUGCUUUUAGGCUGAGCUUUAGUUGUUUUUAUGUUUUUAUCUCUCAUUGACAUGUUUAAAAACUAGUGGAGUUCUUUGAAAUAUAGUGAAAUUUUUUGUCUCUAUAUAUAAAACUCCCUAAAAAUUAAUAGAUCUUUUCUUAGUUGGUGAAAAUAAUUAUUAUAUAUAGUCUUUGAAUGACAAACUUAUAAUUUUCUACAUAUCUGAAGAAUUUGGAAAGUCUAUUACGAUUAAAUCAUGGAAACUUUAACGAAAAGCUUCCUGUACUGUUCACUUUAACAAAAACCACAUUUUUACACUAAAAAGUCAAUCCUGGUACUAUUUACUUUACCCUUUAUUUUGUCCUUAUCGUUAAAACUCAAAAUUUUCAAGUUUUUUUCAUUAGUUUUCCUUUAAAUCAUAGUUACACACAUUACAGAAACCAAUGGGAAUUAUUGGUUGGUGAAUUUAGUCAGUGCCCCAACCUAAUAGAUGUCUAGGACGAUUUUGCCUAUAUUUGGAAUUGGAAUGGCUCAACUAAGUUUUAAAGAGCAUCUUAGCUGAACAUAUAUACUGACAAGUUCUAGGCCAUCAAAGUAGCCUUAAUUUGUCGUGUUCAAGUUGUAGUCUAGCUAAGUUUUAAAGAACGUGUUUGCGACCUAUGAGUACGUAAAACACUAUAAAUGGCCACAAUACAAUUUAAGCAUCAUGUCUCAGUUUAGUCUUUAUUUUCAGCUAAGGUAUUAAUUUUAAGAUUAGAAUUGUAUUUUGCUCUGAAAAUGGGAGUUUGUCUAAACAAGUGGAUAACCGCGAUUGAUUGACCGCCAAUAAUUUUAAUUAAGGUGUCAUUGCUCAAAAUCUUAUUAACUUGAAUAUUUUGAUUGAAGGAAAAAAAAUGUUAAUUUUAGUACUAAUUAAAAAUUUACUAACCAAUAUUAAUAAAUUUUCCCUAAAUUAUGCAAAGAUUAAUAUCAAAUACGGAUUUUUUACUUUUUACUCAAAUUUGAAUUGUGUGAAAUAUGAUUAGAUUUUUUAUUUUUUAAACAUAAAAUGUUUUAUUUUUUAAAUAUAGCUACGUUUUAAAUUAAGAAAAAGGUUAAAUUUUAUAAUAAAUUAUGGGUAUAUUAUAGAUUAAAAAAAUAAAUAGAUAUUACAUUAAAAAAACAGAUACAAACUUUAUUAUAAAUAUGGGUAUAUUAUAGGUUAAAAAAAAUUGAAUAUAUAGAUAUUACAUUAAAAAAAUAGGUACAUUUUACAAAAAAAUUUGAGUACACAUUAUUAUAUAAAAAAGUGGUACACUUUUUACAAAUAAAAGAAAAGAAAUUAUGGGUGCAAACAAAAGUUAACAAAUAUAGGCACAAAUAAAAAUUAAAUAUAUGGUACAAAUGAAAACUAAAAAUAAAAUUGGAACAUUAUAUAUAAAAAAAAUUGGUACAUUUUUAACAAAUAAAAGAAAAGAGGUGCAUUAUAAAUAUAUGAAUAGUACACUAUAACUAAAUUAUUGGUACAAAUAAAAGAAAAGAAAGUAUGGGUAUACAAAUAAAAGAAAAGAAAUUAUGGGUACAAAUAAACUUAAAAAAUAUGGGCACAAAUAUAAAUUAAAUAUAUAGGUACAAAUGAAAAGUAAAAAAAAAAUUGUUACAAAUUAAAAAAAUGGUUGCAAAUUAAAAAAUAGGUAGAAAUUAAAAAGUAGAAAUAUAUUGACACACCCCGACCCUAAAAUCAGGGCGUGCUGGCCGUCACGCCCUGAUUUUAGGGUCGGGGUGUGUCAUAUAUGGUACAAUAUUUAGCCAUAAGUAUAAAUAUACCAAAUGAACCGUUUUUAAUUAUAAAAAUUUAAAUAUGCUGAUGUGUAAACCUUUUAUUGUUGAAAUAAUGACAUGAAUAAAAACUAAAAACCUUAAUCGAAAAUUGAAAAUGAAUAAAGUUUUAAUCAGUGAUAUGAGAAAAUGAGGAAUAAAAACCUAAUUUUUCCUUUAAUUAAUUUGGUAUGUUAUGUUCCAAAUUAGAGCUUAUUUCUGGUAUUAUCUCAUUCUCAUCAAUGUGGGUUGUGUUAAGACAAAAUCCCAACCCUUCUCUCUCAAAAUAUACAUGUGAACACAGAGACAUUUUAUUUUCAUUGGUUUUUUAUUGGGCAACUUUAGUUUCAAUGAUUAAAGAACUGUUAUGCCACGAAAAACUUAGAAGGUCAUCCAGUGAAGUGGGGUGACAAAUGACAAUAGCACACAAAGUCUCCCUACUAUAAUAGGGAUAUUUCUUUUUUCUUUUUAGCAUAUAAGAAGCAAAAUGGAUUGCUUGUUAGUCCAAGGGAUUCUCAAUGCGGCCCAAUGGUGAAAUCUAUUCACUUGUAAUUACGUGCUCGACCAAUUAUCUUUCAAAAAGUUAAUUCUAUCAGAAUUCCCAACCAACUAUUGACGACAAAAUGAGGUGGCCCAAAUCCCUUUCGUUUCAUAAAUACAAACAUAAAAAUACAUGUAAAUGUCUAAACAACGGGUUUAUAAGUUUGAACCUCGUUGUAACAAAUAAUUACUUGUACUUCGCUUUCAAAUAGGGUUUACGGGGUUCACUCCAACUUAUAAUUCUGUGGCUAUUUUUAAGUCCCAGUUCAAUGAUUAUUCUUGCAAAGCAACCCAAUGAAAAACUAUUUAGGCCAAACUGAAAUACCAUGUUAUUUGUGUGUUGAUUUGAUAAUUAAAUGGAUUGCCACCAAGCCUUAAUUUUCUAAUAAGAGAAAAAUAUUAAAAUCAAAGAGUUCAAGUUUCUUAUGCAGGUAGUUGAGCUCCUAUACUCUAGGUAUACACCAUAUAUCCAAUAAGACACACAUACGCAUUGUAUUAGCAAGAUACGAUAUUUUACCAGUACAUUGUCGAAAGAGAUGUGCAGAUUUCGACAUUUGAAAACGAAAAUGUUGAACACAUUGUUCUAUAUAUAUAUUGACACACCCCGACCGAAGUCGAGACAUGCUGGCCGUCACGUGAGAGUGACGUAGCCAUGUGCGCAAAGCGAAAGCGAAUAAGAGUAAGGGAAUAUGAACAAUUUAAAACCAAGCAACUAGCAAUCCCAGAUAAGAAAGGAUGCUAAUGAGAGUUUAAGUGUAUAAAUACACUUUCAGAGCCAUAAGAAAAUCUAGUUGUAGUCAAGUAGGACAAUUACUAAGAUACAUCACCCUAAAUCCUACUAUUCAGAUUCUGUCAGAACAUCGUUGGAUUCCUUGUGGCUACCAACUUUGCUACCUAAGACCUGGAGGGGCAAAAAACAAAGUUGAGUGGGUUAGUAAAAUACAUUUACAUGAAAACCUUAUUUUCCUUUGAAUAUACUAACCCCUCACCGUAAAACAAGUAUAAUUUUUCCCAAUAUCAAGAUAUAAGCAUAUGUAUGCCAUGCCAAAAUAUAACAAAGUAAGCAAUUCAGGUAAGAAUAAAUUCAUAGAAAUAUAACAUGCUAGCCGGAACCCCUGUGGUAGUCUGUACAGCUAAAUUCAUAGCUCAAAAUCAAUCUAGCUGAAGUCAUUACAAUGACCUAUACGGCAACAUACUGCACAAGAGUAAGAACCAAACACAGAGGUCUGUACGACAAUAAUGGGUGUAAUAUAAUCAUGCUCAAUACUACUCUCACAUAAUAGCCGGGCGAUAAAUCGCUAGUCACCUACGAGUCGGAACCAUAAAUAAGGUCUGUUCGACAAGACUGUGCACUUAAAUUGGAUCCAAUAUGAGCAUGUAGUGCGGGAGGUGACAUAAUAAACAGGCCUGUAUCAUAUCUCUGGCUAAAUCACAAUCACCCUAGGUGCAGUUUUAUGAGCUCAACGUUAUUCAAUCACAUAUCACAUCAUCGACAAUUCACAUAACCAAACAUAACUUACCUGAGCUUACCUGAGCCUCCACAUCACCCCAUUUAUAUAUAUAUAUAACACCCACAUAUCAAAUCAUAUAUGAAUUACAAAACUAUAUGCAUGGCAUUCAUGGCAUGGCAUUUAAAUCACAUUUCUUUUAAAUACGUUUUUUGGGAAAAACGUCAAGUAUAUAUAUAUAUAUUGAAAAUAACUGCCCACUCACAGAUAUGUCGAUGGGUCGUAGCCCCCGAGCCUCGAUUGAUUACACACGUCCUGAGAAUAGGCCUCACCUAUAGGCGUAAUAACCGAAUAAACGUUAUUUAAUGCACAUAACCAACAAUAGGUAAUAACUGCUUAUAUAUUGCUUAAAUUGGGUAUAUGAAUAUACCACAGUGACCUACCCAAACUUAGGAUCAUCCCCAAAUUUUUAAAAUAAUUUUCUGACCCCACACGUGCCGGCGAGUGCACGGACCUAUGCGCCCCCAUGUGCGGCCACGUGACAAGCAUGCUGACGGCGUCAGUCAACGCUGUCAGGAAUAUUCCGUUAAAUCCUAACGGAAUCCGUCCAAACUAACUGACGACGUCAGAAUAUUCUGUCAAUCCUGACGGAAUAUUCCGUCGUCUUCAACCUCAGACUCCGGCGACCGUCGCCGACGUUAGAAAACUGGAAAAUUUUCUAAACCUUGUAUCUUCGUCGAUUUUCAUCCAAAUUACAUGAAAUUUAAACCAUUUUAAAGAUCUCAUCAAUAUGAACAAAACCAUACCUUUUUUGAGUCCUAAAACCCACGGGAUUCGCCGAAAAACUCCACGAUAUUCCGGCCAAACCUGCAACUCAACGUUCUGGCUAUUCCGACGUCCAAAAUCAUCCAACGAACCACUCCUAAACUCGUGAGGACCUCCUUAAGCUCUCUAUGAGCUUAAAAUUUCCAAAAACACAAGAUUUAACGUUUCACGAGUUUUCAUGAGUUUUCGAGGGUUUCCUUACCUAAAAAUGGUACCUUUGAACUCGUAUGGUCCUCACGAACACAAUGGUGAUCUUAAAACCUUCGAUCUGUAAGUUUCCUUCAGGGUUUGAUGUUGUCCGUACAUGAGGGAAAGAGAGAGAGAGUGAGUCUGAGGGUGAGAGAGCAUGGGAGAUAAAUGAGAGGAAAAGGUUGUGUGUGUGAGUGGUCCACGUGGUCACCAACCAAAACCACAAACCAAAUUUCCAAUUUAAUUUUUGUUCCAAAAGUUAGGGAAAUAAAAGUUUGGAACAAGACUUACAUACAUAACACACCACAACGCUCCUAACCGAGGGUAAAAUAGUAAAUUCACGUCCCGAUAAUAAAAUAAUACAUAUCUUUGGGAUGGGCUGUGACAUAUAUAACACGGUGUGAAACCUUAGCAAACAUUCCCAGAGAAGAAAGACUUGGUAUAUAUGGGCACGGUUUGGUUGGGCGUCUUUUUAUUCUCAGUUGUAGACCCUCAAAAUCAGUUAAUUAUUUUCUCAUAUUUCCUUGUCUAGUCGUUACAAGUCUUGCAAGUCUUCCCAAUAUUACUCUACUCAAUGCAAACAAGAUCGAUGAACUAGAAAAUGGCUCUCAAUUAUGAGUACUCUUCCACCAUGAUGGAUAAAUAUUAUGAGAACAUUAUCCUUCGCCAAGAAAAGUUUGGGUAGCUUCAAAUUUUCAAAGCAUCUCUAAUAAUGGGAUGUGCAAAAUAGUUUGGAAUGGGCAUUUUAUAUUUUUUGGUUGGCUAGAAAGAUCUUUAAUAGAUGAGAUGUAAAAUUAAGAAGAUAAAAAUAAAAUUGUAACUCAAAUUGAUUUUACAUGAUGUGGUAAGUAUUGAACUAAACAUGGUAAAUACCAAUAUUAAACUAAACAUGGUAAAUACCAAAAAUAUAUAUGACAAUAUUUGAGAAUUUCUUAUAUUCGUUAAUCUCCAAAGUGGAGUAGAUAUAAGAGUUACAAUUGGUAUUACAUAUGUACUUCACCAAUGUGGGACAAUAAACUACUAUUUACACUCUAACUAAUAUAUAACUCGCAACACUCCCCCUCAAGUUGGUGCAAAGAUGUCACGCAUGCCCAACGCGAGUUGGAAAACACACUAUUAGACACAACCUUAGUAAGAGCAUCAGCAAGUUGAUCUUCAGAUCUCACAAACGAAAACAUAAUAAUUUCAACAUCCAAUUUUUCCUUAAUGAAAUGUCGAUCAAUCUCCACAUGUUUUGUUUGAUCAUGUUGCACUGGAUUAUGAGCAAUCUCAAUAGCAGUCAUGUUAUCACAAUGAAGUUUCAUAGCAUCCUUGGGGUUAAACCCAAGAUCUCUCAACAAUUUUUUCAACCACAACAACUCACAUACACCAUGCGACAUACCACGAAACGCAGCUUCUGCACUUGACCUAGCCACUACUUUUUGUUUCUUGCUUCUCCAAGUAACUAAAUUACCACCCACAAACGUAAAGUAUCCAGAUGUAGAUCGUCGAUCAGUGAUAGAACCUGCCCAAUCUGCAUUUGUAUACCCUUCGACAUUCAAAUGACCAUUCUUGGAGAAAAACAGGCAUCUGCCAGGAGCCAUCUUCAAGUACCUCAAAAUACGGGUUACUGCAUCCAUAUGAGCUUCACUAGGUGAGUGUAUAAACUGACUUACCACACUAACUGCAUAAGCAAUGUCAGGGCGAGUGUGAGACAAAUAAAUUAAUCUCCCCACAAGCCUCUGAUACCGUUCCUUAUGAGUAUGAACUUGAUCUGGAAAUAAGCCGAGACGAUGAUUCUGCUCAAUCAGAGUGUUAACAGGUUUGCAAUCUAACAUACCUGUUUCAACUAACAAAUCAAGAACAUAUUUCCGUUGAGACAGAAAAAUACCAUGCUUGGAUCGUGCAACCUCGAUUCCAAGAAAAUAGUUCAAUUCACCCAAUUCUUUCAUCUCAAGCUCAGUAGCUAGGUACUUUUGAAGACGUUGUAUCUCCUUCUGAUCAUCACCAGUCACUAUCAUGUCAUCAACAUAAAUAAUCAAUGCAGUUAGCUUACCAUUUUGUCGCUUUAGAAACAAAGUAUGAUCUGAAUGACUCUGGAUAUACCCAAACUUCUUCAUUGAACUUGUAAACCUCCCAAACCACGCUCUAGGAGAUUGUUUCAAACCAUACAAAGCCUUUUGUAACCUACAUACAACAAAUUUUCCAGGAGAUGUUCCAAUACCAGGUGGGAGAUCCAUAUACACUUCCUUUUUAAGAUCACCAUGAAGGAAAGCAUUCUUAACAUCAAACUGCAACAGAGGCCAAUCCUGGUUUGCUGCUAAGGACAGAAGAACACGCAUAAUAUUAAGUUUGGCAACAGGAGCAAAUGUCUCCUGAUAGUCCACCCCAUAGGUUUGAGUAUAACCCUUAGCAACUAAUCUAGCUUUAUACCGGUCAAUAUAACCAUAUGCUUUGUGCUUAAUAGUAAAUACCCAUCUACAUCCAACGACUUUUUUUCCGUUUGGUAAAGGAACCAAAUCCCAAGUAGAAUUCUUUUGCAAAGCUUCCAUCUCAACUUGCAUGGCAUUAACCCACUUAGAGUCAGACAAGGCAUCUUGCAAUUUUGUUGGAAUGGAUACACUAGAUAGCUGACAUAUGUAAGAUGCAUAUGGUUUGGAUAAACGAUGAGUAGACACAUAAUUGUUGAUAGGAUAGUUGGCUUUGGCAUGCAUAUCAGGCUCUGAUGCGAAAAUUAACUUAACACACAAAUUAAACCCUCUUGUAUCAAUUGUAGUAAAGAAUGUAAGUAGGGAUCGUUCUGGACCGGGGAUUAGAAGGGCUUGCUAAUAACCUCUAAACUGACUUAAAAACGUAAAAUUAAGUUUAAAACACCAAACUAGACUCAAAAGAUGCAAUACAAACUAAAAAGACUCAAAACUAGUUUUAAAAGACUCAAACAGCUUAAAACAAUGAAUUCGACUCUAAACUGACUCUAGGGAUGGUUUUGGACGAAAUUAGGUUCUAACUUGAUUCAAGACACUUAAAAACACAAAUCAAAACAGAUUUUGACUAAUAAAACACUUUAAAGUAAGGAGGGAUUUGAUUUUGACGAAUUUGAAAACAAACAAACAGAUUGUAAACUAAAAUAGAUUUUGGACGAAUUUGGGUAAACUAUGGAUGGAAGGCUAGCUAGGAGGUUCUUCUCCACACAUGACACACUUGCAAACAAAACGAUUUCCAGCUGCUUUUCAAUAAACUAAGAAUUCUCAAUGCCCCAGAUUAACUGUGAAUUUCACUAAUUAACCCUCAAAUUUUCCUAAUUUCAUUGAAUUGGAUGAUUGCAUACAACAAAUGGAUAAGUAAAUUGAAUUCACAAUUUAUGAAUCGCAACUAACAGUAAUCAAAUCAUAUUGCAAGCAUGAACAUGGUUUCGAAUUCCCCAUAGCUAAAGGGGGUUUAGUUCCUCAUACUUACAAGGCAAAGAUAAACAAAUUUAGACAUGGAAAACAAAAGAAAGAAAACACCUAAACGCUCCAACGAUCCAAGUUGGACAACAAGCACGUCCAAGCACUUUCUUUCCCUUCCUUUGCUACAACACAAGGUGUUGGUGAGUGUUUGAAGGUUUGGUUGUAUGGAGGAAUGGAUGUGAAGAUGAAUGGAAGUGUUUGGAUGAAGGUUGUAUCGAAAUGGGGAUGAAUUAUCAAGCAAAAACUGAACUAAAUUUAUGUUACACACACUUCCUUUUAUAGAGGAAGUGCAUGGCAAUGGAGGGGAACAUGGAGUGGUGUAGCAAUUGAGUGCAAUGAUGCAUGAAAUCUAAAAUGAUGGAGGGAACAAGGAAUGGUGUAGCAAUUGAGUGCAAUGAUUCAAUGUAAUGAUGCAUGAAAUCUAAAAUGAUGGAGGUAACAAGGAAUUGUGUAGCAAUUGAGUGCAAUGAUUCAAUGUAAUGAUGCAUGAAAUCUGAAAUGAUGGAGGGAACAAGGGUGGUGCAUGACAAUGAAGUGUAAUGAGUGUAAUGGUGCAUGAAUGAGUGCAAGAAAUCUGGUGCAUGAAGGGGACAAGGGUGAUUAUGCAUGGCAUGGGUGGAAAGGUGAGUAAGUGGUGAAUCAAUGAGUGCAAGGAGGUGAAAGGAUAUUGUGCACAUGGUAGACAAAGGAAAGGAAGUGGAAUGAUGCAACAAAUGAGUCAAUGGAGGGAACAUGGAUGCUGAUGCACGGCAUAGGAAUCCAAAGGGAGUGCGAUUGUGGUGCACGGCAAUGAUGGAAAUGUGAAUGGUGGAGUGACACCCCUUUGUGGUUGAGCUCUUUGUCCUUCUUACAUUAAUUCUUCUUUCUCUUUAACACAUUCCUAGCCUCUUUAGUCUUCAAUUUCGUCCAUCCACCUUGCUGCAUGCAUGUGCUAUUCAUUCCAAGCCCAAAAUUGCUCCAAAAUGCAUCUUAUUGCUUUAUAAGACCUAUGGACCUACAAACACACGAAAAUAGCUUAAAAUACAUAAUUAACUAAAGAAAUAACAACAUAAAUGUAUGAGAACAAGCUAACUCAGUCGCAUAAAUAUGCUCCUAUCAAAUUCGCCCACACUUAGCUUUUGCUAGUCCUCGAGCAAAACAAAACAAAAGAAACAAAACAUAAAAUCUAAACCUUCCAACAUUUACCUCAGGGAUUUCCAAUGAAACAUGACAUGUCAAAGAUCACCACUCACAUAGAUUUAAGCAAUCCUUUCCCUCGAGCAUACUUAAUCAUAGUCACCAUUCACUAGCUCACAUUUAAUCGAUUAAAACAACAUUUUGAAUGUAGUAACAUACCUUAGAGAAUUCCCUCAAUUCCUUACUAGAUAUGCACUCAAUUUUCACUCAAAUUUUCUGACUACGCACCCUACACUAGGUAUAUGUGAGAAGAUUGAUGUAAACAUGAAAACUAGUACUCACAUAUGUUAUAGCAAAGAAAGCACUUUUCUGGAAUUAUUAAUGCAUGUAUAUAUAUGAUCUCAUGAACGGAAUGCCACUACUUAGAAGCGAGAACUAGGGAUUCCAUAUGCUCAUACCAAUUCCAAACUCCACAUAUUGAAACACAUAACACUCAAGAUAGAAGUUAAGGGUUGUAACAGGGCUAAGGUAUUGAUUAACAAAGAAAGGUAAGGGGAAACAAACGUUCUUAAGGCAAUAGUGAGCAAAGUAAUGAUUUUGACACUUAGAAUUCACUUUUGUAUGUAAACAUCUACUUAAACACAAAGGGAAAGUUCAUGCAACACUUAGGGUCAAAUUCAAACUUUUGGACCCUUUCUUCAACAAUCAACACAUGUGAGUUCAUUCUCACUUAUUUUUCAACUCUUUUUCAUUCUUUUCAUACACUUUUCUUCUUCUUUUUUCUUUCCAUGAAUUUUUCUUUUCUUUUUCUUAUUAUUGCCGUGCCUUAUGGCACACAAAAUAUACAAUUUGAAACCUUUCCCCCACACUUGUUUUCUGCAAUAAAGUUACCCAAAAGGAAUUCCUUCUAAGUCAUGCUCCACUAUACUUCAAGAACAAGGGUAUGGAAAGUCCUAUUCUAGGCUAGGUAGGGAUGAGGUUGUUAACAAAGAAAAUAGGCUAAACAAGGCUCAACGGGGUUUAAACCUACAAAACAAAUGGGUUCGGCUAUUUGGCUUUGGUUCACUAAAUAACUUCAUCUUGAAUAUGUGUUAUGCAAAUCAAUAUCAUGCUUUGAAUGGAACGGGCAUGAGUUCUAGUAUUUAGAUCUAUAAUGAUGAAACGCAUUCUAAGUAGCAACCAAGCAAAGAAUAAUGAGAUCAUGCAACGACUUUAGAAAACAAGAAUGCAUAGAUUAAUAACUUUCCAAAUAAACGUUUAGGCUCAAGUCUCUCAGGGAUGUAGCGUUAAUUUGAGUUUCUUUCUUCAAGCAUGUUGCAAAACUGAUUUUUCUUUUGUGAUUGCAUGUGAAUUCAUAAAUAAUAACCACAACCAAGCAUACACCAAAGAGUAAACCAAAUUUUCAUCCAUGUUUAUAACUCUCUUUAACAGUCAUGUAAUUAAAAACCAAAUCCUCAUCAUUGUGUUGGAAGGUACCCUAAGACAAACAAACACACAAAAAUAACUCUUUUUGGGUUUUUCAAAACAAUUUUUUCAAAUUUUUAUGAGAUUUUCGGAUUUUUAUGUCAAAACACACUAAAACACUCCAAAACAGCUUAAAAAUACUUAAAAACAGCAAGGAACAACACUAGAAGUAAAGGGUGAUAAACUCCUACGAAUUUCAUGCAAAACAACUUGGUUACCCCCCCACACUUAAAUCAAACAUUGUCCUCAAUGUUUCAAGCAUAAACUCACCCAAAAACAAGCAAACAAACAAACAAUGAAUAAACAUGACAAGUAUAGCAAAGUAAAAACUAGAUAGAGUAGAGUUUAAGAACGCAAAUCUGGUUUUGGGGAUAGAUGAUCUUGUUGACUUUCCACAGCUUUGAUCUCGAACUGGUUUGGAAUUUUGAGUAAGGAAUAGGAGAGUUCCUUGGUGGUAGUGGGUUGAUGGCAUUGUACGGCGAGGCUUUGCUCUUUGGCGACUGAUGCGUCCAUAUGUUGUUGAAGCUUCUCGAGCUCUUGGUUUCAACUCAUACUCCUUGUGCAGGCAACAUUCUUCUCUGCUUGUUUCUUCUGCACGGCAGGUAGGCACGAGGUAGAGAUGAUGGUCUGUUUUCAAUCUUUCCAAGUGCCGACCAUUUGCUUUCUUUCUCCUUGUCCCUAGCUGAGGAUGAAUUAGCACAUUGUCUCCAAAUGCUUCGAGGUAUCAACUUCACUUCCCUUAUCUGUUCCCCAGGCAGAUGUGGUAGACGAAGAGGAAGCAUAAGAUGUUAAAAAAUGAGUACUCGGGAGCAAGGUUAGGUAAGCAAUCAAGAAGGGUUUCCAGGCAGUUGGUUCUAGAUAGGAAGAUUGAUACCAAAUGCUGGCUGAUCACUCUCUUUCUCCUUGUCCCUAGGUGAAAACAAAGACAAGGAGAAGGACAGGGAGAAAGCAUGAUAUGAGAUACUCUUGCUUUCAACCUUCAUGAUAUGAAAUAUUUUUGCUUUCGAUGAGUUGUUUGCAGAGGUAUCCCAAGGAAUAAGGAACACUGAGUGACUCGAGAGGCUUUGUUGGGAAGGCAUUCUCGGAGAUGAAGAAAGGUUAUGUAUGUCUGCCUUGCAAUGGGGGGUGAAAGUCGACAUUUAUAGGAAAUAAUAACCGGUAUUAUUCUUUCACUCUUGUCGGCAAUCGUUGGAUGAUUGAACAGUAGACUUCAUGUGCUUUCUACUUCACCAGAAAUCUUCGACAGAUUGCCCAUAAUUUCCGCAAGGCUGAGUGUGCAUGUGACAGUUGCUGACAUGUUUGGAAAAGCAGAUGGCUCUUCGAUUUCUGAGCUUGCCUCUUCGAGUUCUGAGCUCCGUCGAGUGCAUAGGUUGCAUGUGACGAGUGUGGACAAAUCUGGAAAAGAAGAUGGCCUGUGGUUUCUGAGCAAGCCCAACUUUUGAGAAAGUUAACGCCUCUUCGAUUUUUGAAUUGGCCUCUUUGAAUUCUGAGCUCGCCUCUUCGAUAUCUGAAAUCCUGUCGAGUGUUGAUUUUUAUAGAGGCACGCAGUUCAUUUCAAAGCACACUUGAAUUUGCGCUUGUAGAAACUCCCUUCUUGCACUUCUAAGAUCUUGACUUGUCCUAUCUCUUCUUUCUUCAACACCUUUGAAAAUGUCUGGCCCUUCCGACCGUCGUUUUGACUUGAAUCUCAAUGAAGAGGCAGCCAUGCCUUCUCCUGACAGCAUAUGGCACCCAUCCUUUAUAUCCCCUGCUGGUCCUCUUACCGUUGGGGAUUCGGUGAUGAAGAAUGAUAUGACUGCUGUGGUGCUGGCCCGAAACCUUGUCACUCCCAAAGAUAACAGACUGCUUUCUAAAUGGUCUGAUUUGGCUGUUAAGGAUUCUCUGGCUCUCAGUGUGCAGUGUGCAGCUUAUGUGUCUAAUAUGGCCCAACGCCUAUUUGCUCGAACCUGUCAAGUUGAAUCAUUGGCAGCUGAAGUGAUGAGUCUCAAACAGGAGGUUAGAGGGCUCAAGCAAGAUAAUAAAUAGUUGCAUAGGCUUGCAUAUAACUAUGCUACAAACAUGAAGAGGAAGAUUGACCAGAUGCAGGAAUCUGAUGGUCAGAUUUUACUUGAUCAUCAAAGGUUUGUGGAUUUGUUCCAACAGCAUUUGCCUUCAUCUUCUCGGGCUGUACCGCGUAGUGAAGCUCCAAUUGAUCAACCUCCGAUACCUCCUCCUUCUGUGGCUUCGCCGACUGCUGAGGCUCCGCCGACUAUUGAGACUCCACCGACUACUGAGACUUCUCCCAAAUAGCCUUUGUGAAGGCUCCCUCUUGUAUUUCUUUUCCACGAAUUUUAAUUUGAAAAUACCUUGCAUAUCUGUCAAUGUCUCAAAAAUAAAUCCAAACCAAAAAAUAAUUAAAUAAGCAACAAACAAAUAAAUUAAAAAAAUGACAAUCAGGCAAAAUAAAAAUGCAGAAAAUGGAAGGUUUUUAGAAACUCAAAACUGCUUGUGGAGCGAUUCAAAAAUCUUCCUUAUUUGAAUACAUGGGUUGCCUCCCAAGAAGCGUUUGCUUUAACGUCUUCCAGCCAGAAGAUACAUCCGUUUAAGCUUGAACAAGGCCCACGGCAUGGAGGGGUAUGUCCUCCACGACAUGCUCCUCAAAUGCCUCAUAAUAGGGCUUUAAACGAUGCCCAUUUACCUUGAAUUCUUGUUGCGUCUUCACACUUUGAAUUUGGACUGCACCAUGAGGAAAAACAUUAGUAACCACAAAAGGACCAAUCCAUUUGGAACGCAACUUACCAGGAAAUAAGCGAAGGCGGGAAUUAAAGAGUAACACUUUCUGCCUAAUGGAAAAUGAUUUGCCUCGAAUCAUCUUGUCAUGGAAAGCCUUCGUCUUCUCCUUGUAAAUUCGGGCGUUUUCAUAAGCCUCAUGCCUAAUCUCUUCAAGUUCAUUUAAUUGGAGCUUUCAAUGAAUUCCAGCGGCGUCAAGGUCCAUGUUGAAUUUUUUGACGGCCCAAUGCGCCUUAUGCUCCAAUUCUACGGGAAGAUGGCAUGGUUUGCCAUAGAUGAGCCGAAAUGGGGACAUGCCAAAGGGUGUUUUAUAUGCCGUGCGAUAUGCCCACAAUGCAUCCUCCAAAUGCAAGCUCCAAUCCUUCCUUGUUGGCCCAAUGGUCUUCUAUAGAAUCUGCUUGAUCUCCCUAUUAGACACCUCGGCUUGCCCAUUGGUUUGAGGAUGGUAAGGUGUAGAAACCUUAUGGUUGACAUUGUACUUCCUCAACAAUGCCGCAAUGGUUCGAUUGCAAAAGUAAGACCCUCCAUCACUGAUGAUUACUCGUGGCAUUCCAAACCUUGCAAAUAGGUUAGUUCUAAUGAAAUCUGGGACCACUCGAAAAUCAUUAGUUCGGGUGACUUUUGCUUCCACCCAUUUCGAUACAUAAUCCACAACAAGUAAGAUAUAAAGGAAAUCAUGUGAGGAAGGGAAAGGACCUAUAAAAUCAAUACCCCAAACGUAAAAAAUUUCAACAUUGAGGAUGGAAACCUGCGGCAUUUGAUCCCUUGCACUUAUAUUUCCUGUUCUUUGGCAUUUAUCACAUGUUAAGCAAAAAAUUCUAGCAUCCUUAAAGAUACUAGGCCAAUAGAACCCACAUUGUAAUACCUUAAGUGUUGUUCUUUGUGUGCCAAAGUGACCACCACAUGCAUAUGUAUGACAAAAGCUUAAAAUGGAAUGAAACUCAGAAUCAUGCACACAUCGACGAAUAAUCUGAUCCGGGCAAUAUUUCCACAAAUAUGGAUCAUCCCACACAUAAAACCGUGCGUCAUUUCUGAGCUUAUCACAUUGGUGUCUAGUGAGAGUGCUUGGAAUUUGUUUAGACACCAAAAAGUUUACCAAAUCAGCAUACCAAGGUUCACUCACCUUAAUGGACAUCAAUUGUUCAUCAGGAAACGUUUCAGCAAUGGGUAGGGACUCCUCAUUAUGCAUCAUACGGCUUAGGUGGUCAGCCACCAUGUUUUCACUUCCCUUUUGUCUCGAAUCUCAAUAUCGAACUCUUGAAGAAGCAAUAUCCAUCGAAUUAGCCUUGGCUUGGCUUCCUUCUUGGAAAGCAAAUACUUUAGAGCUGCAUGAUCAGUGAAAACAAUUACUUUAGUACCAAUUAAAUAUGAUCGAAAUUUAUCUAAAGCAAAGACAGCGGCAAGAAGUUCUUUUUCCGUUGUGGAAUAGUUUAAUUGGGCAUCAUUCAACGUCCGUGAAGCAUAGUAGAUGACAUGCGGCCUCUUAUCCUUCCUUUGUCCUAAAACAGCCCCUAAAGCAUAAUCGGAUGCGUCACACAUGAGCUCAAAAGGAAGGCUCCAAUCUGGUGAAACAAUAAUGGGAGCCGUGGUCAGCAACUCCUUGAGUUGUUUGAAGGAUGCCGUGCACUCCUUAUUGAAGUCAAACGCCACAUCUUUUUUAAGGAGACGGCAAAGAGGUUGGGAAACCUUUGAGAAAUCUUUGAUAAAUCUUCGAUAGAAACCUGCAUGUCCAAGAAAAGAACGAACCUCUCUAACCGAAGUAGGAGAGGGUAAGUGACGUACAAGAUCGAUCUUUGAUUUAUCAACCUCCAUUCCUUUUUCAAAGAUGAUUUGUCCUAAAACUAUGCCUUAUUUAACCAUGAAAUGACAUUUUUCCCAAUUGAGAACAAGGUUAGUUUCAACACAUCGUUUUAAGAUCAAACUGAGAUUAUGCAAACAACCAUCAAAUGAAUCACCAAAAAUGCUGAAAUCAUCCAUAAAAACUUCAAUAAUUUUCUCAACAUAAUCAGAAAAUAUGCUCAUCAUGCAUCUUUGAAAUGUGGCAGGUGCAUUACAUAAACCAAAUGGCAUGCGACGAUAAGCAAAUGUACCAAAGGGGCAUGUGAAAGUGGUUUUUUCUUGGUCCUCGGGUGUUAUGACAAUUUGAUUAUAACCAGAAUAACCAUCAAGAAAACAAUAGAAAGCAUAACCCGCUAACCUCUCAAGCAUUUGAUCAAUGAAUGGCAAAGGGAAGUGGUCCUUCCUAGUGGUGGCGUUGAGCUUCCUAUAAUCGAUACACACCUUCCAACUUGUUUGGAUUCGAGUAGGCACAAGCUCAUUUUCAGCAUUUGUCACCACAGUUACUUCGGAUUUCUUUGGAACAUAUUGAACGGGCGAAACCCAACGACUAUCGGAAAUAGGAUAGAUCACUCCACAAUCUAAAAGCUUGAUUAUUUCCUUCUUCACAACUUCCAUCAUCAGAGGGUUGAGUCGGCGUUGAGCCUCUCGAGAUGUUUUAGACCCCUCCUCCAAAAGUAUACGAUGCAUGCAAGUGGUGGGACUGAUUCCUUUUAUGUCGGCCAAUGUCCACCCAAUUGCUGUUUUGUACUCCCUUAGCACCCUUACCAACUGUCCUCCUCUUGUGCCGUGAGUGUACUUGAGAUGAUGACGGGCAAUGUCUCAUCAUCGCCCAAGAAAACGUACUUUAAAUGGCUUGGCAAUGGCUUAAGUUCAAGUGUAGGUGGCUGCACAACUGAGGGAAGUAACUUAUUAGCCGAAACUGAAAUGGAAAUUGGGUCCAAAAACUUACCAGAUUGUAGUGGCAAUGAUUCGAGGGCAGCCACCAUCUCAAUCACAUCUUCAUUAGGGGGCAUGGCAAGGGAAAAAUCAUUCAUGCCGUGGGGAUGCAUGGUUACUGCGUCAAUGUUUUGCAUGUCCAUUCCUCGUGCAAUGACCAAUUCAAGUGCAUCGUUAUUCAAUUUGUCAAGAUGGUCCUGCACCAAAGGGUCUAUUACAUCAAUAGAAAAACAUGAAUGACUCUCACUAGGAUACUUCAUAGAAUCAGAAAGAUUGAAAUUGAUAACUUCCCCAUCAAAUUCCAUCGUCAAAGUUCCAUUAAACACAUCAAUCUUAGUACGGGCAGUUUUCAUGAAUGGCCGUCCAAGGAGGAUGGGCAAUGUAGGGGAAUGGUUCGACUCGUCCAUUUCAAGCAUGUAGAAAUCUGCCGGAAAGAUUAAGUGAUUGACCUGCACUAAAACAUCUUCCAAAACUCCCUUUGGAUAGACAUUAGAUCGAUGGGCUAAUUGUAUACACCAUCAUUUUUCAAUUCGCUUAAGUGCAUAGAUGCAUAGAUUGAAUAAGGCAUGACAUUUAUAGAUGCACCUAAGUAUAACAUAGCCGAUUCAAAACGAGUAUUACCGAUUACACAAGGAAUGGUAAAACUACCCGGAUCCUUGCAUUUAAUGGGCAGUUUACGUUGUAAAACAACUGAGACAUUUUCACUUACCUUGACAACCUUCUUGCUUGAAAUUCUCUUCCUAGUUGUGCAAAGUUCUUUUAAAAACUUGGCAUACCUUGGAACUUGCUUAAUUGCAUCUAACAGUGGUAUAUUGACUUGAACUUUUCUAAACGUUUCCAAAAUAUCCUUUUCAGCCUCCUCAUUCUUUGGUUGCAUAAACCUACGAGGAAAGGGUACAUUUGGAGGAACAACGUUAGAAUUAAUCAAAAUUGGAACUUCCUUACCUUUGUUGGCAGAAUUCGAUGAUUUAGGAGCUUUUGGGGCCUGCGGCAAAGGUGUUUCCACCCUUUCCGUCGGGGUGCUUUGCUCCUCCUCUUCAAUUAUCAACUCUUCAACCUCAUUGGAACGUGAAUUGGACGGUUGGGGAUUAAAUCCAACUUGUUUUCCACUUUGUAAACUCAUGGCUUUUGCAGAUUCGAAUCCUCCUUUCGGGUUGACGACGGUUGAACUAGGUAACUUACCUUGCUCUCUGAAUUGUCCUACAAACUCCGCAAUUUGCCCAAUUUGCUUAUCCAUUUGGUCCACCCUUUUGUCUUGGUUUUGCAUUGCUUUGGCUUGAUUUUCUUGCCCCUGAGACAAAUUGGUGAGUAACUUAAGAAGUGUCUCAUUAUCUAAAGAUGUACCUGAGGUAUUUUGGGCAGGUUGUUGUGGGGCUUGUGUUGGUGCGUAUUGCUUGGUAUAGAAGCCCGGAGGUUGUUGCCUAAAGCCUCCUUGUUAUUGGGGUUGUUGGGGCUCCCGCCACUUGAAAUUUGGAUGGUUUCUCCAACCUGAAUUGUACGUAUUAGAAUAUGGAUCGUUCAUUGGCUGGUUUUGGCCGUGAAAUUCAAUUGCAUUGGCGCUUUCCCAUCCAUCAUUUUCAAUCAAUUGAGCGCACUUUUCAGAGGCAUGUCCUUGGAUAGAACACACAUCACAUACACUUGGUUCUUUCAUCCUCAUUCCUUCGGCCAUCUGAGACACAAUGGAAGUAAGUUUAGCUAAUUCGAUUGAAUGUUGGAUGUGGAACUUACCUUAUUCACUUGCUGCCGUGGGGUGUCCCUUUGACCAACGCCUUCAUAUUGUUGAGCAUUCAAUGCUCGGUUAGCAAUCAAGGUCUUGGCAGCCAUGGGUGUUUUGUCCACCAAAGCUCCUCCCGCUGAGGCGUCUAGCAUUUGGCGUUCAAUUGGUAGAAGCCCUUCGUAGAAAUAUUGAAGAAUAAGCUCCUCCUUCAUCUGGUGCUGUGGACAUGAAGCAACAAGGGUUUUAAAACGCUCAUAGUAAGUGGGAAAUGAUUUACCUUGGUUUUGCUGAAUGCCACUAAUCCUUUUGCGUAGUAAAAUGACUCGAGAAGUUGGGAAAAACUUCUCCAAAAAUGCCCGUUUCAUACUCUCCCAUGAUGUGACAGUUCCGGGGGCUAGCUCAUAUAACCAAUCUUUAGCCUUUUCCAAGAGAGAAAAGGGAAAAGCCUUUAUUUUUAGAAUGCUCCCAUCAACAUUCACAGGGGUCAUGCUUGAACAAACAACCUCGAACUCCUUCAAAUGUUUAUUAGGAUCUUCCAUGGACAUCCCGUGGAACUUAGGAAUGUGGUGUAACAAACUUGAUUUCAAUUCGAACUCGUCCGUCUUCCCUAGGGCAGCCAUGGGGUAUUGGAUGCAUAGGGGGCGACAUUGUCCAAUCCCGAAGCGGAAAGCUCCUUGAUUGUUCGAUUGUCUGCUGCCAUGUUGGGAUUUUCCUCUUUUUCUUCAAGUGGAUGUUCUUCAAACUCAGGUUCAGGAAUAGGUGGGUUACGAUCUUGCUGAUUCCUAUUCCUUCUCAAAGUCCAAGAUAUGCUCACGAAUCGGAUGAGAACUUCGAGUCAUAAACUAGUACCUUAAACAAGAAAGCAAACAAGGUCAGUAACUAACAUAAAAAAAAAACACACAAAAAUAAACAACAAAAAAAAGAAAUAAAAAGGGAUUAGCAAUGUUACUAAUCCCCGGCAACGGAGCCAAAAAUUUGAUGCGAAAAUUAACUUAACACACAAAUUAAACCCUCUUGUAUCAAUUGUAGUAAAGAAUGUAAGUAAGGAUCGUUCUGGACCGGGGAUUAGGAGGGCUUGCUAAUAAUCUCGAAACUGACUUAAAAACGUAAAAUUAAGUUUAAAACACCAAACUAGACUCAAAAGAUGCAAUACAAACUAAAAAGACUCAAAACUAGUUUUAAAAGACUCAAACGCUUAAAACAAUGAAUUCGACUCUAAACUGACUCUAGGGAUGGUUUUGGACGAAAUUAGGUUCUAACUUGAUUCAAGACACUUAAAAAAACAAAUCAAAACAUAUUUUGACUAAUAAAACACUUUAAAGUAAUGGGGGAUUUGAUUUUGACGAAUUUGAAAACAAACAAAUAGAUUGUAAACUAAAACAGAUUUUGGACGAAUUUGGGUAAACUAUGGAUGGAAGGCUAGCUAGAAGGUUCUUCUCCACACAUGACACACUUGCAAACAAAACGAUUUCCAGUUGCUUUUCAAUAAACUACGAAUUCUCAAUGCCCCAGAUUAACUGUGAAUUGCACUAAUUAACCCUCAAAUUUUCCUAAUUUCAUUGAAUUGGAUGAUUGCAUACAACAACCCAAAGCAUUCCCCACAAGUUCCCUAUAUGAAUUGCAUAAUAGAGAUACAAGCAAGAAUCAUUAAGUUCUAUGAAAAUCAUAAGCAUUGACGAAACACUUGUAACUAUGAAUUGCAUGAAACUUAUGCCAAGAAUUUACUUAACACGGUUGUGACGAGCAACAUUUACUACUUGUGAAUAUAAGUUCAUAACAAUUAGGUGAAACUCCCUUAUAUCCUCGCAUCAGAUUUAUGCAUGAAAAUUAAGCGUGCACUCUCAACCAACAUACACAAAUAAGUUUUAAUUCAAAUGGAUAAGUAAAUUGAAUUCACAAUUUAUGAAUCGCAACUGACAGUAAUCAAAUCAUAUUUCAAGCAUGAACAUGGUUUCGAAUUCCCCCUAGCUAAAGGGGGUUUAGUUCCUCAUACUUACAAGGCAAAGAUAAACAAAUUUAGACAUGGAAAACAAAAGAAAGAAAACACCUAAACGCUCCAACAAUCCAAGUUGGACAACAAGUACGUCCAAGCACUUUCCUUCCCUUCCUUUGCUACGGCACAAGGUGUUGGUGAGUGUUUGAAGGUUUGGUUGUAUGGAGGAAUGGAUGUGAAGAUGAAUGGAAGUGUUUGGAUGAAGGUUGUAUCGAAAUGGGGAUGAAUUAUCAAGCAAAAACUGAACUAAAUUUAUGUUACACACACUUCCUUUUAUAGAGGAAGUGCAUGACAAUGGAGGGGAACAUGGAGUGGUGUAGCAAUUGAGUGCAAUGAUGCAUGAAAUCUGAAAUGAUGGAGGGAACAAGGAAUGGUGUAGCAAUUGAGUGCAAUGAUUCAAUGUAAUGAUGCAUGAAAUCUGAAAUGAUGGAGGGAACAAGGGUGGUGCACGGCAAUGAAGUGUAAUGAGUGUAAUGGUGCAUGAAAUGAGUGCAAUAAAUCUGGUGCAUGAAGGGGACAAGGGUGAUUAUGCAUGACAUGGGUGGAAAGGUGAGUAAGUGGUGAAUCAAUGAGUGCAAGGAGGUGAAAGGAUAUUGUGCACCUGGUAGACAAAGGAAAGGAAGUGGAAUGAUGCAACAAAUGAGUCAAUGGAGGGAACAUGGAUGAUGAUGCACGGCAUAGGAAUCCAAAGGGAGUGCAAUGGUGGUGCACGACAAUGAUGGAAAGGUGAAUGGUGGAGUGACAUCCCUUUGUGACUGAGCUCUUUGUCCUUCUUACAUUAAUUCUUCUUUCUCUUUAACACAUUCCUAGCCUCUUUAGUCUUCAAUUUCGUCCAUCCACCUUGCUCUAUGCAUGUGCUAUUCAUUCCAAGUCCAAAACUGCUCCAAAAACCAAAAUGCAUCUUAUUGCUUUAUAAGAUCUAUGGACAUACAAACACACGAAAAUAGCUUAAAAUACAUAAUUAACUAAAGAAAUAACAACAUAAAUGCAUGAGAACAAGCUAACUCAGUCGCAUAAAUAUGCUCCUAUCAGGCUCAUAUUGUACUUUAGGUUUUCCAUGAUUAGCUCGUGGAGGCAACUAAUAAGUAGAAGAAUCGUCAGAAUUUACCUCAUUUAUGCCACCAUCUUGUACCAAACUGUUAGAAGAAUCAUCACUGGAUGAACCAUCAUUAGGCAACUCGUUAGACAUAUCAGCAGCAUGCAACCGAUCAUUAGAAGGCAAUUCGUUAGACAUACUAACAGGCAACUCACUGGGCACAUCUGAUCUAUCGUCAAUAGAAAUAGUUCCAGGAAUAAAAGGUGACCGAUCACUAUCUGUAGUCGACUGAUCAGUAUCACACAACAUAAUAGGUUAUUUUCCCAACUCUGCCUGUAACAUAUCAUCCAUACAAUCUCUUUGAAUCUGUACUUUACUCCCCGUCUCCCCCUGAAGUGGAAAGUCGGAAGAGGGCUUCGCAAAAUACGAAACUUCCUCAUGGAAGGUGACAUCCAUGGUAAUAUAAGUUUUUUGAGUCGGAGGAUGAUAACACUUAUAGCCUUUCUGAUUGUUAGCAUACCCAAUAAAGACACACCGGAGAGCACAUGCAUCAAGUUUACUCUGCUGAUGAGAGUAGACAUGCACAUACGUAAUACACCCACACACUUUCGGAGGAAGCUUUGAUACAGAAACAAGAGAAACAUGUUGUUGUAGCACAUCGAACGGUGUCUGAAAAUCAAGAACCCUACUUGGAAUACAAUUGAUCAAAUACACAGCAGCCAAAACAGCAUGACCCCACAAAUGAUUAGGAACACAUUUAUCCAACAUCAAGGAGCGAGCAACUUCCAUUAUUUAACGAUUAUUCCGUUCGGACACACUAUUUUGUUGGGGUGUAAACGGAGUAGUCGUCUGGUGAAUAAUACCAUGAUCACGAAAAAAACAUGCCAAAGUGUGAUUCACAUAUUCUCCCCCGUUAUCAGACCUGAAGACCUUAACUUUGGUCUGAAACUGAGUAAACACCAUUGUACAAAAUUCUUGCAGAAGUAACGGAACAUCACUCUUAUUCUUCAUCAAGAACACCCAAGUUAACCGAGUACAAUCAUUAAUAAAAGUAACAAACCAACGGAAUCCAUUAGAAGUAACUUUCGUUGGACCCCACACAUCAGAAUGUAUCAAAUCAAAUGGCAAAGUAGCUUUAGAAUCACUUAUAGGAAAUGAAGCACGAUGACUUUUAGCCAUGACACAUGUUUCACACUUGAACUUUGAAUCACUAUAAGUGCGAAACAAAGAAGGAAAUAGAUGUUUCAUAUAACUGAAUGAUGGAUGUCCCAAUCGUCGAUGCCACAACCAAAUUUGAUGUCUAUCAUCCACUUUAGCACUUAAAACUUGAUGAUUAUUUGAACCAGAAACAACCGUAUCCUUCAUAGUCAAGAUGUACAAACCCCCUAUUCUUUUACCAUGACCAAUUAUCUUCUGAGUUUGAAUAUCUUGAAAAUAACAAUACGUAGGGUAGAAGUGAGCAGAACAAUAUAAGGUAUCAAGAAGUUUUCCUACUGACAAAAGAUUGCACUUAAGAUCAGGAACAAGUAAAGCACAGACCAAUGAUAAGGUUGGAGUCAGAGAGAUAGUGCCUUCACCCUUCACAGGGGAAUGUGCUCCAUUUGCACUAGUAAUAUACGGAUCACGAACAUAGUCACAUAAUUCAUCAAAAACUCUAGGGUUACUAGUCACAUGCUCAGUGGCCCCAGUAUCUAUUAUUUAUUAUUUAUUCCACCAAGAUACAUAACAACACUAUGAUUAUAUUGAGUCAUUGAACAAAAAUCACGAACAAUAAAGGCACAAAAAAUACGCAGCGGAAUGAAAACAAUUUACCAGAUUGUAGCAAAGCACUGUUCACGUAUUGUAGCAGAGAGACUAUUCACGGCACUGUAGCAAUCAUUGUUUACGGCACUGUAAAUGACCACUGUUCACGCACUGUACUGUAGCGCGCCACUAUUCAAUUUUUUUUUUUUACGAAGGAAAUCACGAAAAAUGUGGGCACAAAAUUAAAGCACACAGGUCACCAAGAUCGAACUGCUCUGAUGCCAUAUUGAACUAAACAUGGUAAAUACCAAUAUUAAACUAAACAUGGUAAAUACCAAAAAUAUAUAUGACAAUAUUUGGGAAUUUCUUAUAUAUUCAUUAAUCUCCAAAGUGGAGUAUAUAAAGGAGUUACAAUUGGUAUUACAUAUGUACUUCACCAAUGUGGGACAAUAAACUACUAUUUACACUAACUAAUAUAUAACUCGCAACAGUAAGUAAUGUGUACAAUUAUUAAAUAUAGUAAAAUCCAAAAUAAUUAUAUAUAUAUUGACAGUUGAAAGUUGACACAUAUUAGGAUUGACACCAAAAUUAAUCUUGCAAAUCCAAAGCUAUGAUUUUGGAAUGGGACCCCAAUUCAUCUUGGAUUUUGGAUUGGGCCUCCAUUGAUAAGACCCACGGCCUCGGUUCUUGUUUUCACAAAGUGUAUUAUUCCUGCACUUGGACUGUUCAGGUUAGAUAAGUUGGAACAAUGUAAAACUCUCUUCAUUGACGAAAUAUAGAAAAGGUUUGAUAUACGUUUGACAUUCUUAAUGAUUCUCAUUGAAUUUCAAGAGGGUCCAAAAAGAAUUAGUAAUUACCUUCUCAUUUGGAUCUUCUCGACUCUUAUUUUUAUCCUACAAUGUUGCUUGAUAAUUAUAACCGCCUACUUUUUAGAUCAUAUUUUAAAGAUCAUAUAUAUUUGCAAAAAUUUAAUUAUGUUUAAAAUCGUUUAGUCAUCUAUUGGUUAUUCAAUGAAUAAACGAACUAUGUUUCUCACUUCAAAACUGAGAUUUUAACAACGUUAGUCUAACAAUUAAAUUAAAUGAUUUUCUGAUUCGGUUGAUUUUUUACAAAAUUAAUUUUUGAUAUGUGAUCGAGAAAGUAGACCAUUUUGAUUAUCAAGUAAUAUUACAGAAAGUGGACCAUCUACUCUCGCAGCCUUCUUAUCCAUGAGCCACUUUACCAGCUUUUUCCACGAAUCAGAAUACAGCGCAUAUUACUUUUAAUCUACAAACAUCCUAACUUCAGAUGUUUGUUCAGCCUUUUAUGCCGUCCAUAGCCUAUACUUCAAAGAAAGCUGAUGGGAUUAGAAUUCUUCGGAACCAGAAAAAAAAAAGGAAAGCUUAGCUUCAUUGUGAAAAGUAAGGCUGGGACUAGUCGUAUUUUUGUUGUAAAAGAGGGAAAUGUUGGAUUUGGAUCCUCUCUCCUGAGUUAACGGAGAGGAUCCUCUUGAUCAAGUAUUGUCGGCCGUUGGAUGAAAAUCCAACAGUUAUGAUUAUUUAAACUUUAAAUGGACUUUUAUGUUUGUAACUGUUGGAUAAAAAUUCAACGGCCCACAAUACUUGGUCAAGAGGAUCCUCUCCAUUAGCUCAUGAGAGGAUCCAAAUCCGGAAAUGUUUAUUCGGCUAGCCCAUGCACAUAACUGCGAUGACACUGGAUUCGGAUUGUUAGGGGUAUAGGCUUUACUAAUCCAAAUCCAGUGAUUUAAAGACUGUGCAUACUAUGUGUUAUCCACACAUUCCAUUUUAUUUCUUACACACCUCUUGAUAAUUUAUGUUCGUUGAUUUUCGUCAAUUCAUCUGAUCCGAUGGCCAAAAAUUAAAAAGGUGUGUGAGAAAUAAAAUGGGGUGUGUGGAUAUCACAUCCCUUGACGAUUUUCAUAUAAAAUAAUUGUAAUUAAUGUCGUUUGCGUGUGCAGUUUUGUGCAUUGUGUAUCCCAAUUACAUUAAUCCAGAAACUAUAGUACUAUAUUAAUGCUGAUGACGAAACUUGUUUGUUUUACUUUGUACACUUGGAUUGGUGCUUUGGUUGUUACUAUAAUGUUGAGCAUUCUACAAAUAUAGUCUGCACAUGCAGCAUGUAUAUUCAUUCAAAUUGCAGUGGCAGAGAUCAGAUAAUAUGUGCGAUAAGGUGACUAUAUUUUAUCUUGUGGGGCUUCUUUGCAUUGGAUGGGAAAGUGGCAACCUUCCACUGCUCUUUCUUAUCAAGUUUGACGAUGGAUAUAACUGCUGUCGGUACAAAGGGAACUCUGCAUGUUGAUGGUUUUGUUAUCCCUCGUGAAGGGAAAGAAGCCGCUUUUUCUGCAGCUUCAGAAAGUGGAUUUAAUGAAUUUGUCACCUGUUGGGUUCCACCACCAAGUCGUCACAUUGUGACCACAGAUCUUCCGCAUGAGGUCCUCAUGGUAAGAGAGUUUGCUCGUUUGGUAGGGGCUAUUAAAAAUGGUGCAAAACCUGAGAAGAAGUGGCCAACCCUUAGUAGGAAGACACAGAUCGUACUCGAUGCUGUCAAGGCAUCAAUUGCCAAGGGUUUUGAAUCCAUUGUUAUCGCAUAUUAACCGAGACUCAUCUGGUAUGUGUUUUUCAUCUUAUCUUUUA
rnacentral:lncRNA from 1 species